AUGAAAAGGAAAAAGUACUGUUUAGCUGUUCUUCUGUUAUUGACUUUGUAGGCCCCAUACUCCUGAAUGGUAGAGCAACUCCUGCGAGGUGGAAAGCUUUGCAGUAUCUUAAAAUGCUAGUCUUUGUUAGAACUUUACUACUGAAACAACAGAGCAAUUUGAUCCAUGCUGUGUUGUCUUUUCUUUUUUCCUGGAGUUAUGUGCUAUGAUCUAACAUAAGUACAUAACACAUCUCCUUGUUGCCAUUCAGAUGCCAUAUUAUAAGAACUUUGUGAAAGAACUGAACGUACAGAUUACUGAAGCCAUCAUACCUAACUUUUCUAGUACAUAAUGCUUUAUGCAUUCAUAACUGACAUGGUUCAAAUAGAAGCUUCUGCAGUUAUUUUUUUUUGAAUUCCUGCCUUAACAGUGUGGACUAGGGGGUGUUUUACGAUCAUGAACUUGAAACCUUGCAGGCAGAGGUGUCUUCUUUAAGCUUUGAAGGAUGCCAUCUUAUAGGCCAUCCUACUGCGGCAACGACAAUAUAGAUGUAAUGCCUCAUGUUUUCUUCUUCUUCUUCUUCUUCUUCCUUAAUUUUUUGCCGUAGUUCUAGUUUACUUGCAAGAUCAAGUUUUGUUUGCUUCAAAUAUUUCACUACAUCCACUUUAAGCUGUAAGCCCCUACCAUCCCUGCCCCUAGAGAUAGUUACUAAUCUGAUCUCCAUGUGUAUAAUAUAUUGAACAGAGGUAUAUCAGUUUGUAUUCGUCAGUUUGCUCUUUUUUGUGCUUUAGCAUCUUAUUCUUUUCUUCCUUAACUGAUGUUCGAGAUGUCCACUGUGGAAGUACGCAUUAUCUGAAUUGAUGUUAUGCGGGGCAGAAUUAUCUUUAACUGAGACUUGAUCAAAGGCGGGAUGGCUGUUCGAGAUCCAUUGAGAUUGGCAAGGUAUGACCAACAUCUCAUGGUUACAAUUCAGAAUCUCUUCUCUUGGUGCCUUGUAGUUCUUUCUUCUGAAUACAGGUCACUAGUGAUAUAUAUUUAGAUUUUGCAUAAAAAAAAAAAGAGAUAAAUUGAAUAAAAUUUUCCGUGUUUACUGGUUUAGAAAAUAAAUGCUGGGUUUGCUCUAGUAGAUGGAGAUGGCUAGCAUCAGUUAUAGUGCAUGUGGAUUUGAUCAUUUCAAUUCCAUCCAAAUCGUAAUGAUGACGAUUGUUUAUAUGGGAUCUUUAUAAUACUGAUAUACUAAUUGUAGUACAUGACUUUAAGUUGAUAUCUUCCUUGUCUUAGCUUUGCCCAUUUUUUCCACUAAGUACUUGUUCUUAGCUUUCCUUCAUUUGGUAAGAUCUCUCCAUGCUUGGUUGCUUUAGUAGAUCAAUGGCUCAGCUAUUAACAUUGAAGAAAGCAUACUGAAAUGAGAAAAAGUUGAUCAUGCUUUCCUAUUUAGUGUAGAUCACAAGCUUGCCAUCUUUGGUUUUUGACUAUCCAAAUAUAAGAUCAAACUGAUAAAAUGUCCUAACACCAUAGCUUUAAGGGAUUUGUAGAAUCUUGAUGGCGUUUUGUUGUAUUAAUACACUUGCGAUCCAUCUUGAGACACGUCUGUGUAUUUUCUUAAAUUAGCGUAUGAUUCCAUUAUCUCAUCUCCACCAGAAGACCGUAGGUUAUUAGUGGUGGAUAUGGUUCCAUUCAUUCUAUUUCUUUGAGAAUGAAACGUGAUGUUUCAUUGAUGAUAAAACAGCACUAAGUGCUAAUAUUCUUUCUGGUGGUCCAGUUUCCCUCUAGACCAUACUUUUCUUCGAUCACCUUCCUCCACAAUGCCGCUUCUUCAUUGUUAAAUCUCCAGAGCCACUUCAUCACGAGACUUUGAUUUUGUAAUCUCAGAUUUUUUAUCCCAGGCCACCAAGUUUCUUAGAUAGAGUGCAAGUCUUCUAGUUGACCAAAUGGAAAGCUUUCUGCUUUCUUAUCCUUAUUACCUUGCCAUAGAAAAUUGCUUUUCAGCCGGUUCAGUUUCUUUGAACCUUCACUGGCAUGGGAAAUAGUGACCUGACAUAUGAGUGGAGUGAAUCCAGGACACUAUUAAUGAGCACAAGUGAUAUAUAUGCUUCUUUCAGUUGGAUAGCCUUUUCACUAAUGCCUUGCCAGAUGAUAUCAGCUUUACAGUUGGCUCCAGGUAGGUCCUAGGAAGCGAGCCAGUUUUCCACCUCCAAAACACCAGCCAGAUAUGAAAUAUUUUGAACUUUAUUCACAGUAUACAUCGUACUCUUCAUCAGAAACUGUGAGAAUCAGUCUCAGAUGCUUAAGUUGCUCCACAUCUGCAUCGCAUAGAAUUAGCGUAUCAUCAGCAUGUAAAAGGUGGGUUCUGAGCAUUGUUAAAUACUUUAAAACCUUUCAGCCAGCCUGGGUGUUCAGCGUAUUUUAUCUCCUGCUGAGGGGUUCCAUUACCAAAAUAAAUAAAAAUUGGGACAUGGAAUCACCUUGUCUGAUGCCUCUUUGCGCGCACAAAAGAAACCUUCAGGGGUACCAUUUAUCAGGAUUGAGUAUCUAAUGAGCGUGUACUGUAGGACACGUAACUUCUCCAUUUAGUACCAAACCCUAACUCUUUAAGCAUUGAAAAGAGAAAAUCCCAAUUCACAUGGUCGAAAGCUUUUUCGAUGUCCAGUUUGCAAAUCAGCCGUUGUGUCAUCUUCCUUUUUCUUGUUAUCUAGACAUUCAGUAGCAUUUAAAGUUGCAUCCAUAAUUUGUCUCCCUUUAAUGAAAGCCAUUUGUGUGUUAUGAACCAGCUUGUCACUGACCCUCUUGGAUCUUUCUGUUAACAAAUUAUUUUGUAACACUACCAGUCAAGCUUGCUUUUUUUUUUUUAUUAUUAUUAUUUUUUUUUAUAUAUAUCCUUUGAACCGAGGGUCUAUCAGAAAUAGUCUUUCUACCUCACACAAGGUAGAAUUAAGGUAUGCAUACACAAUACCCUCCUCCGAUUCCACUUGUGAGAUUACACUAGGUAUGUUGUUGUACCGGCCAAGCUAAUGGUAAAAAAAUCUUCCAGCAGCAUGGCACCAUUCUUCUUGGCAAUUAGGGCAAUGCAUGUAGCAUUCAGGCUUCUUUCAAACCCUCCUUGACUGUAAAAGAAUUCUAAAGCUUUCAUUUAUCUUCCUUUAUCACUGGCCAGCAUUUUUUGUAAAAUGCCUUUGGGAUAAUUGGAUGCCCUAUACUUGAGCUCAAUUGUGGAGAGAGAUUAACAUAGUGAAAUUAAUAGUAACAAUAAAUUGAGAGCAAAGAAUAAAUAAGAAUAAUUUAGUCAAAUACUCAAAUUAUCCUUUCAAUUAUUGUUGUCUUAAGGGGCUGCAAAAGCCGACAUAACAAGUAAAAGAGAUCAAAGGGAGUAUUCAAUAGCAUUAAUUUUCCUACUCUAUAUCAUGAAUACAACAACAAACCCCCCGGGACUUCUAUAAAUAUCUGUUUUUUCACAAGAAAGAAAAGCUCUUACUAUCUUGAUUCAUGUUUCAUUUACAGAGGGCCAAGUCAAUUUUGUCGAGGAAAGAGGUCCAAAUAUUCGUGAAUCUUAAAGAAAUGUCCCAAAUAAGUAUUAACUUACAAAUCUUUAGCCAUUAAUUAUAAACUUACAAAAACUAGCCAAACACAUACAAAAAUUAAAAAUUCAAAUAAAUAAAAAUUCUUUCCCUCCAAGAAUCACAAGCAAAGAUAUAUAUAUAUAUAUAUAUCUUUACCAUAUAUGAAAUUAGAAGAUUUUUUCCUAAAGAUACCUGGACUACCUACGAAUGUUUUGAUAAUGGUAUAAAUCAGGGUGUUGGUUGAGUCGGGAAUGGUAUGACCAUCUUUGGGUGUAGAAGAUCUAUAUUUUGUUAUCUCCUUAUCUUUAGGCGUUCGUCUCUUAUGAGGCCUUUUACUACAAGGACGUAAGCCAAAUUGUUCAUAGAAACUAUCUAGAUCUCGGCGAGUCUGCGUUCUAUCUUUGGCUAAUUAUCUCAAUAUCUUAUCAUGUCGACAUAUUUUGAGAGCAACAUGUUGAAUGAGACUGGUAAGAUGGCCAUAGGUGAUUUUUUCGUAAGGAAUAAUAUCACCAGUAUACUAGUUUUGGAGUUCCUCUUAACAAAAUUUCUAUGAGACUUAGGUGGACCAUUUAGGAAUUUUUCUUUUCAAUAUUGAAGGUUUCCAUCUAAUUUUUCCCCCGUAGAUGCAGGCAAAAAAGGAAUCUUAUAAUAUCAUUUGAAAUCAGAAAGGACUUUGCACUUAAGGUUGUUAAGUAUCUCAGAAGAUCUUUCCCUAAAGAUACCUGGACUACCUAUAAAUUUUUUGAUAAUGGUAUAAAUUAGGGUGUUGGUUGAAUCGGGAAUGGUAUGACCAUCCUUAAGGAUUGGUUCUCCCGUUGAAUCAACUCGGACACUUAAGAGAGUUUGGUUCUUAUCUUCCUCACUCAGAUGGGUAUCCCUCCAUCAUUUAAGUUGACCUGUAAAACUUGCUACUAAGACAUGGGUAUAAGCUGGUCAGAAAAUUUAUGAGAAGUCCGGUAUGUAGUGGCUACCAUAGUCAUCUGCUGUAAUUUGGUCAAAAUAUUAUAUUCAGAACAACCAUCUAUGUUCCACUCAUAGAUAUUAUCGACAUUAUAAUUGUUUUACAUGUGUGUGUAUGUAUAUAUAUAUAUACACACACACACAACAACAACCCAGUAAAAUCCCAUAAGUGGAGUCUGGGGAGGGUAGUGUGUACGCAGACCUUAUCCCUACCCCAAAGGAGUAGAGACGCUGUUUCCGAAAGACCCUCGGCUCAAGAAAACAAAAAGACAAAAGGGGACAAUAUUAGUAUCACCACGAUAAUCAUAGAAAAAAAUAAUAAUAAAAAAAUAGAAACAUGAAAUCUAGAAGAAAUAUAUAACGACCCGAACGGUCAUUUUGAGAAUUUGCACUUUGCUCGGUAGUUUGGGGGCACGAGUAGCUCCGUAUGAUGUAUUAGGACUUAUGUGCAAAAUUUGAGUUCAUUCCGAGUUGAUUUGAUAUGUUUCGGUGCGUGUUUUGGAAGUUGAAAGUUCAUUAAGUUUGAUUUGAGGUGUGUUUCAUUGCUACGAUAUUAUUAUGCGUGAUUUGGGGGCUCGAGAAAGUUUGUGUUAUGUUAUGGAACUUGUUGGCAUGUUCGUACGUGGUCUUGAGGGGCUCGGGUGAGUUUUGGAUAGAAUUGGGUUGUGUUGCGCUUAUUUUUUCUUAUAUUUCGACGUCGUUUCUUCAAGCAUAAAUGGUGCCACAUUGAACAAAUGAGCUCCGAUUUCUGUUUUGGUUGAAACAUUAGAUCCGUAUUAUAAUUAUGGAUUCAUAGAAAAAAGAAUAGUCAAAUUUGGACAUCGUAUGAAGAUUUUAUGGUCAUUUUACUAAGAAUUGGGUUGCUAGAUUUUUCAGAUUAAUUACGAAAUUGCCAUUGACUUCGUAUUUAAGGUCAAAUGGAAUGAUUCAAAAGCCUAUCUUGACUGAAAUUUCGCAAGGAAUCCAUUGGAAGCAUAACAAGCAAGUUUUAGGAUCGUUUAGCACUCAAAACGAGGCAGAACAGCUGGGCAAAAGUACUUAAUAUCGAAGGUUUGUUAAUUUGGUCAUAUUUUGAAUUGGGGAGCUUGGAUGUGGACAAUUUUGGAGGCGAUUUUUACCAUAUGGAUUGGGGUAAGUGUUCUAUACUCGAUUUUGGUUAUAUUUCAUGAAACCAUCUUCGUUUUUUGCAUUUGAUUGAUGAUUUCAAAGUGAAAUUUGGGGGUUUCGUCUAAAAUUUCAUAAUGUGAAUUUUUGAGUUUUGAAUAUCGAUUCGGAGUCGGAUUUGAGUGAAACUAGUAUGGUUGGACUCAUAAUUGAAUAUGUUGUCGUAUUUUGUGAUUUUUGUCAGGUUCCGAGGCGCGAGCCCGGGUUAGAAUUUUUGGCCGAUUUUGGACUUUUGAUUAAAGAUUCGACCUUUUUCGAUUGGGAUUGGUUCCUUUAGAAUUGUUUGAUGUAUUUGAGUUGUUUUUGGUUAGUUUCGAGCCGUUCGGAGGUCGGAAUACGCGGGAUGGCAUUUUUGGAGCAUUGCUUGGCUUGCUCGGUAUUGGAAUUGGCUUGUUUGUGGUAAGUAACCCUUCUAAACUUAGUGCUGAGGGUAUGAAACCCCGAAUUACGUGCUAUGUGAUUGAUGACGAGGUGACACACAUGCUAGGUGAUGAGCGUGUGGGAGUGCACCUUAUGAAUUGUGACUCCGUUGUUUUCAUGGCACUGUUUAGUGGCCUAUUUUGUUGAUAUAUGUGUUUUCACCAUGUGAUUAAGUAACUGAGCUGUCAAUCAUGCUAGAUAUCAUGUUUAGGCUUUAUGCCGAUAUUGUUAGGAUCCAUAGUGGUCAUUUCUUGCUGUCAUCUCACUGGUUUUCAUUGAUAUUUCGUACUCAGUCAUAUUCAUGCAUUUAUAUCAUAUCUCAGUCUCAGUUAUUAGUCAUUGACACAUCAUAUCAUUGUUCCGGGGCUUGAAUACAUACACUUAAAGUUAGCACGAUUUUUCAUUUAGAUACCUGAACUUAAAGGUGUUCCUAUUGAGCACUUAUACUAUCCGAAAUUUAUUCCAACUAAGCACUUCUUUGACAAUCAGCCAAACUUACAAAGUUUGUGCAAUGCAAUUGCUGCUGACUUGGCGAAUGACAAAUAAAAAAAGAACAUAUAUUAUUUUGAGUAAAAAAAAGGAAAAAACCUAAAACCACUACUUAACUCAGCAUCUUCACUAUAUGUUCAUGUAUGUUCUUCACUAUUUUCAUGUGUGUUCUUGUUCCAAGCACGGUUUUAAUCCAAAAUUUUAAGAGAAACUCCUCCGAAUUUGUUAUAACUUCAGCUAAAGAUUCCCCACAACGACCCGAAGACAACCCCAAUAUUAAUUUCCCAAACUUGCAUCAAAUCAAGUAACCCAUUUUAAACCUUCAAACUUUUUAAAGAUCCCACUAAUGAUGUUUCAAUUAGAAAUGAAGAACUCAGACUCAUUUAAGUUUUUCUCUCUUCUUCUUCCUCUGCUUUGCUCUGUUUCUUUUUCCGAUACCAUUAUAGUGAGAGAAAGAGAAAAAGUGUUUAGCAGAAGUCCAGCGGCAGCUGGUUUCUUAGGGUUGAACAAGAAUCCCAAAUCUUGAACAAACAUCAAAAGAAAAUCAUUCACAAAAAGUAGUGCAGCUGAAAUUAGCAUUAAUAGCGGGCCAAACUUUGAACUAAGACGAGCAAAGCCAAACAACUUUACCAAAUCGGAACGAACAAAAGGGGGUACCGGUUGCGGACCAGAGCAUAUUAUGCAUUGUAAUGUAGGUAUUCCAAUGGUUUUGCUUUUCGUUAGAAAUAUAUAUAAAAAAAGAGAGGGGGCUCGUUGGAUUUUUUGGAGAGGAUGAGGCCGCCGGUUUCUCUCGCCGGAUUCCGGCAGUGAAGAGAUGGGGACUGCCUCAGAUCUGUUUUGUUUUUUAGGGAGAAGAAGAAGGAAAUAAAAAAGAAAAAAUUUAUUUUUUGGGGUCUUCACGCGCCUAUAUUGGGUGAAACUCACUUUAUGUGCCAACUCAGCAAGAAGUGCUUAAUUGGAAUAAGUUUCGGAUAGUAUAAGUGCUCAAUAGGAACACGACCCUUAAGUAUAAGUGUCUAAAUAAAAAAUUGUGCCAACUUUAAAUGUCUCCAUAUGUAUUCGGCGUUGUUCCGGGUUAGUCUUCAUGACAUUGUGAGCUCUUGAGUGCGACUGGAGAGAUUGAUGACCGAGUGAGGCCGAGAGCCUGAUUUUGAGUGACAGUUAUAGGAUUGGGCUGCACGCUGUAGCGAUUAUAUUGAUGAUUAUGAUAGUGCUUGGGCUGAAGGAGCCCCUCCGGAGUCUGUAACACACCCCAGUGAGCGCGAAUGAUAUUAUUGAGGGAUGGAUUUCCCUGGACAUGGAUUUGUCCGAAGUACUUGAUACCUGGAGAUGGAUUUCUCCACAGGGUUGGAUUUCCCUUUUUCCUCGGUGCUGGGUGCCUUAUAGUCAGUGUUGUAUAUGUUCCAGAAUGGAUUUCCCUGGGCCGUAUGGGCCAUAUAUAGUACUGAGUGGUUGAGCAUGAUGAGUGAAAAAUGUGAGACAGUGAGAUUGAGUUCUCUGAGAGUGUGAGUACAUGAUUCAUCUAUGAGGUACAUGGCAUUGAUAUGCACACAUGACAUACAGGCAUAGAGAUGCACUUUUUCUCAUGUUGUACAGUAUCACGUCAUUCUUGAUUUUUCAUACUUAUUGAUAUGUGAGCAUAAAGAGGUAUUUCACACUUGCUAUUUGGAAAGAAAGUGAAACAUCUUAUUUAUUUUGGAAAGGCCUUUGGAAAAAUUAUAGUUUUCAAACUAUCUCACAAUUUUUUGACAAUUUCGAUAAAGGAUUUGAAUUUUCACUGUUAUUCUUGAAAAGUGGAACUAUUUCCAAAAACUGUGAAAAAGAGGAGCAUUUAUAUCUCUAAGUUACUUCCUUAUUUAUAUGUUUUACGUUGUUACGAACUGCUACUGGUUAUUGCUAUUGGACCCGACCUAUGUACCAGCUCAUCACUGAUUUCAAUCUAAGGUUAGGUUUGUUACUUACUUAGUAGAUGAGAUCGGUUGUACUAAUAUUAUACUUCUGCACAUUACAUGCAAAUGUUGGCUGUUGUUGUUGCUAUGCCUGAUGGUUGCCGGAUUUGAAGAUGUACCUGCAUUCCUGUUGUAGCUGCCUCUUGUUCAUGGUAGCCGUAGAAUUAAUAAAACUCUGUUUAUGUACUUUUCAAACUGAAGAUGCAUUUACUUCAUACCAGCUUUGUAAACUCUAUUCUUAGAAGCUCAUGAUUUGUACUACUAGUCUUUGGGAAAUGUAUAAGAUUCAGAUAAUUUCUUUUGCUUAAAUUGUCUUAUUAAACAUUAUUGGACUUGGAUAAUUAUUAGUUGGCUUACCUAGCGGAUUGGGUUAGGUGCCAUCACUACUAGUAGAUUUGGGUCGUGACAGAUUGGUAUCAGAGUUCUAGGUUCAUAGGUUCUACAAGUCAAUAGCAAGUGCCUAGUAGAGUCUUACGGAUCGGUAUGAUGACGUCCAUACCUAUCUUUGAGAGGCUACAGGGAAUUUAGGAUAUACUUCCCAUCUCUCUUUCCUUAUCGUGCGACAUUGAUUUAGCUUGAAGCGUAGUCCUUUGAAUUCCUUCCACUCAUUCGUAUGCAUACAUGAGCACUCGGUAUCAGCUGUGCACCAAUGACUUGUGAUUCCCGGGAUGAGGUGCGAGAUAUGAAUUCUCUGUGUUGAUGAUGGGCCAGUUUGGAGGACUUGAGGCGGGUUUGACUGUAGCUUGAUCACAGAGGUGUUGAUCGUGUGAGCACAUGCUUUUGGGCUUAUAUGUCCGGUAGUGUCCCUAUUGGUGGAAUUUGUGGUUGGAUGGCUAUGUAACGAGUAUGAUAUGACUGCAGGAAGUGUUCAAAUGUGAUGAAAAGAGCUUGACUGAGAUAUAAAUUGGUGCUUGAUUUCUGUCUUGAUUUGAUGUAUAAUCUCGAGUUAUGGGAGUGUUAAAGGAUCUUUCAUGCUGUUUGGUUGUAGAGUGAAGUAAUGUAUUCAAUGUCGUGAUAUGAGUUCAGACUCAGGAAGAUCAAAUGAUUGCAUAAUAGUUAUGACUGUAGAAGGGAAUAGAGAGAUGUCAGUUUGAGGCAAAACAUGUGGGUUAUCUCCUGCGAAGUGUCCUGAAGUUUGUGUGAUCCCUAUGUUGUUUUCUAGCAAGUUCUCUUUUACCAGUGAAUAAUAUGUGUUGCAAUUUGAGUUUGGAUCACUUAUGAGAGUUGGCUUGACUGUCACAAGGGAGAAUGCGGGAUUUGCAGAUGAUUUGAGAUAUUAGAUGGUUUGGGUUUCAUGAGCUUAUGGAGGAUUUAAUGGAAUCUCACUGCGGUAUUCUGGAAAUAAUAGAGUAUGGACAUCAUGAGUUAUUGUGUAUUUUGAUCUAUGGCUUUGAGCCAAGUGGGGGAGUCUACUAUUGCUAAGUUGAUUGCACGGCUAUGUGUUGUAUUGGUUUCGGUUUGAGCUAUACUUGUGAAUAGGUUAUGUUUUGCAGAGGGUGAGAUCGAUUAAAGGAAUUUCUGGAUGCGGGUUGUGUUACACUCUAUGGGUAUAUAGAAAUCAUGGAAUGAUUGAGUGGUUAUUCGUGAAGGAUGUAGUGUGCAUGGAGUAGGAAUUUGAUUGGUUCCAUUAAGGUGGAGUCACUUCCUGGGGUGUUGGUGUGCUAAUGGGGCACAUGCUGUUCGGUUUGCUUGAUCGGUAUAAUUGAUAUUUGAGUAGGGUGGAAGACUCUUGAGAAUGGUUCUAAUGGAUGCAAGAUUUAAAUGUAGCAAUUGGGAACAUUCAGGAUUUGUAUAUGGCUAGAAACUGAGAUUUUCAGUGGAUGGUUUCGAGACUUGUGGCAUUUAUAUAUCUUUAUGGAUUCUACAUUUCAGUAUCAGGAAGGUAAGAAGAACAACUUUAAAUUCACAGAAGGUCUCUUCAGAGUGGGUAUCUCGGUUAUGGUACUCUUGGGAGUGCUUAAGAAGGGAUACAAUGAUUUAUGAGCCUUAGGGUGGUGUGGUUCUAUGCUAAAGUUCGUGGGGCAAGUUUUGGUUGAGGUUAGUAGUGUUCUAGCAAGGAAAGGUAUCAAUUUGAAGGCAAUUCGGAAGGAACUCGGAGAAUUAGAACAGCUUGUAACGGGUUGGAUCAACAUGGUAACGAAUGUGAUUGGCUCCUCUAGUUUUUAUGAUGUAGUGAGUUUCUACAGGUGUUUUGUGGUGAUACUCAUGGGUUUUGACGGCCUGCGUAGCUUGGUCGAAUUAGAGGGAUUCAAUCCUGACAGUUUGUUUAAGUGCAAAUAGAUUUCGAAGAGUUCUUGAUGGUUUCUACCACGGUUUGAGAUGUAUAUUUCCUACUGGUGUGUAGGGCAUGUUGCAUAUUAGGAUUCCUCCUAGAUGGAAUCAAAUGGAAGGAUUCUGGCUGAUUGAACAUAUAUAUUCUACUUGUGACUCAGAGUUGAUUUUGAGAUUUUUAUAUCUUUCAUAUGAUGGCAUAAUGGGUGUGGUAUGUUGUGUAGUAUCGAGAUUUGUAGGUGCAAGGUAACAAUUCGGUUUUGAAAAGAGGUCCUACAUUUUUAGGCAGCAUGGACGAUCUCAGAUGAUUAGAUAUAUGAUAUUACUAUUAGAUAUGGCUUGAUGAGGGUGUAAGUUUCAGAAGGAGCAAUGUGUUUUGAUUUAUGAAUACUUUAUUGGUAUGACAGUACUCUCCUGGUUGAUCGAUUGUUGAUGUUUAAAUUUUGCUUUGUGGCACAGAAGAAUUUUAGAAGUAUUCCUCGUGGGAUGAUCGUGUGAGAGAUGUGUCAGGUAUUCGAGCGGUGGAUUUGGGGACAGAUAUGGUGAUUCGUAUGUUAUGUGGAUUUGGAGACUGGGAGUCCUCAUGAGCAGAUUGUUUCAUGAUUGUGGACUGUGAAGUCCUGACCGAAGCUAGCCAGAUGAUAAUAUGUGUUAUGAUUCACUCAUUGUGGAAUAUCGAGGGUUAUUUAUCUAUUUGUGGGUGACUAGAGCUGAUUUGGGGGUCCAUUGGUAGCCCCAAUUAGGAUGUGUAUUCUAUACCGAGUCGGAUUGGUUGGCUCCAUACUGCUAUUGCUGAGGGAUGUUCCAUUUGGUUGUAGUUGAGCUUAUUCGUGUUCUGAAAUGAUCUGUGAGUUACUCUUCUAUGCUACGAGGAGUUGUGAAUUAUGGGUUAUAAGUACACAUAAUGCGGUUCUAUUGGGGCCUUAUAAUGGAAUUUGAGCGAGAUGAGUAUUUGAGUAUUUGAGAGGAGUUAUGUUCUUUCGGGGUUUGUAUGGCACUGUGUCAUUUGCCUCUUCGUGGUUAUGGUAAUGCACUUUGAGUACUUGAUGUCGAAUUGCGCGUGAUUAUUAAUUUUGAGCAGGGUGGCUUGAGGUAUAUGCCAUGGACCAGUGUUUGGAUGGGGCACGCAUUGCAGCAAAAUUAUAUUGAGGUAUGAACCUUUGUGUUAGAUUCGUGUGAUGGUCCUACAGGGUGUUAUGGAUUUUUAGUAUUUUGUUGUGGCAAUACUUGUUAAGCUUGCGGGCAGUUCUCUCGUUUGAGUCAUUUUUCAUGAUUUGAGUACAUUUGGAUUGUUGCUUAUUGGUGUACGGAUUGCACGGGUUGUGGCUUUAGAUUGUAUUGAUGUGACAUGUCACUAGAAUGAUUGUGUUGGAUGAGAUGAGGUCAUUGGACCUAGAAUAGAUACUAUCGUAAUUGAUUACAACAUAGUUGGAAGUAUAAUAUCAGAAGUCGGCUUAGAAAUUGGCUAUAGUUCUUGUCGAAGGAGGGAGAGUUCCAUGACUUGUUGUUUUGAUAAGUGGUUACGAGUUUCUGCGUGUUUCUUUCAUCAUUGGCAGUGUACAAAGGUUCAGAACAAUAUUUUAGUUGAUAUAAGGUUCGUUACCGGUGUCGAGUUGGUUAUCGAGCAGCCAUUGCGGCCAGAAGUUAUCGCUAUGAGUAUUUGAGUUGUGUGGUAUAUCUUGUGAUUGUGUCGUGGGUCUUGGUUAUGGAUUGUUAUAGCUUGUUCAAACUUAUACAAUGUGUAUAUGCGAUGUUCGGGUCUUGUAGUAAUUUUGGAUGUUGGAAAUUGGAUACUGUGGUUUACGGACUAAGGAUGGAGUAAUGAUAUUCAGUUGUAUGGUAUGGUCGGGCCUAGUUGAAAUAGGGUGACGUGGGAUCACCCCCGAGUAUGUUCCUGGUAAAGUUAAACGGUAAUUUUAUGGCCUUGGGAACAACUCUUGGCACGUUCGAGGACGAACAUAUGUUUAAGUGGGGGAAAAUGUAACGACCCGAACGAUCCUUUUGAGCAUUUUCACUUCGCUCAGUAGUUUGAAGGCACGAGUAGCUCCGUAUGACAUAUUAGAACUGUGUGCAAAAUUUGAGUUCAUUCCGAGUGGAUUUGAUAUGUUUCGGCGCGAGUUUUUGGAAGUCGAAAGUUCAUUAAGUUUGAUUUGAGGCGUAUUUCAUCAUUUCGAUGUUGUUAUGCGUGAUUUGAGGCCUCGAGUAAGUAUGUGCUAUGGUAUGAUACUUGUUGGCAUGUUCGCACGGGGUUCCAAGGGGCUCAAGUGAGUUUUGGAUAGAAUUGGGUUGUGUUGCGCUCGUUUUUCUUAUGUUUCGACGUCGUUUCUUCAAACAUAAAUGGUACCACAUUGAACAAAUGAGUUGCGAUUUCUGUUUUGGUUGAACCAUUAGAUCCGUAUCAUAAUUACAGAUUCGUAGUAAAAAGAAUCGUCGAAUUUGGACAUCUUAUGAAGAUUUUAUGGUCAUUUUACUAAGCAUUGGGUUGCUAGAUUUUUCAGAUUAAUUACGAAAUUGCCACUGACUUCGUAUUCAAAAAUCUGCACUAUUUCUAAAUAUUGAAACCAAAAUAUCGCCUUUAUUAUAAGGUCAAAUAGAGUGAUUCAAAAACAUAUCUUGACUGAAAUUACACAAGGAAUCCAUUGGAAGCAUCAAAAACAAGUUUUGGGAUCAUUUGGCACACAAAACGAGGUAGAACAACUGGGCAAAUGUACUUAAUAUCGAAGGUUUGUUAAUUUGGUCAUAUUUGAGUUGGGGAGCUCGGAUGUGGAUAAUUUAUGGAGGCAAUUUUCACCAUAUGGAUUGGGGUACGUGUUCUAUACUCGAUUUUAGUUAUAUUUCAUGAAUUCAUCUUCGUUUUUGGCAUUUAAUUGAUGAUUUCAAAGUGAAAUUUGAGGGUUUUGUCUAAAAUUUCUUAAUGUGAUUUUUUGAGUUUUGAACAUUGAUUUGAAGUCGGAUUUGAGUGAAACUAGUAUGGUCGGACUUGUAAUUGAAUGGGUUGUCAGAUUUUGUGAGUUUUGUGGGGUUCCGAGCCACGGGCCCGGGUUGGGCUUUUCGGCCGAUUUUGGGGUUUUUGAUUAAAGAUUCGAUCUUUUUCGGUUGGGAUUAGUUCCUUUAGCAUUGUUUGAUGUAUCUUAGUUGUUUUUGGUUAGUUUCGAGCCAUUCAGAGGUCGGAACGCAUGGGAUGAUAUUUUUGGAGCAUCGCUUGGCUUGCUCGGUAUUGGCAUUGGCUUGUUCGAGGUAAGUAACUCUUCUAAACAUAGUGGUGAGGGUAUGAAACUCUGAAUUACAUGCUAUGUGAUUGAUGAUGAGGUGGCGCACAUGCUAGGUGACGGGCGUGUGGGCGUGCACCCUUUGAAUUGUGACUAUGUUGUUUUCACGACACUGUUUAAUGGCCUAUUUUGUUGAUAUAUAUGUUUUCACCAUGUGAUUAAGUAACUGAGCUGUCAAUCAUUCUAAAUAUCAUGUUUAGGCUUUAUGCUGAUAUUGUUAGGACCCAUAGUGGUCAUUUCUUGCUGUCAUCUCACUGGUUUUCAUCGAUAUUUCGUACUCAGUUAUAUUCAUGCAUUUAUAUCAUAUCUCAGUCUCAGUUAUUAUUCAUUGACACAUCAUAUCAUUGUUCCGGGUUAGUCUUCAUGACAUUGUGAGCCCAUGGGUGAGACUGGAGAGAUUAAUGACCGAGUGAGGCCGAGAGCCUGAUUUUGAGUGAUUGUUAUGGGAUCGGGUUGCACGCUGCAGCGAUUAUAUUGAUGAUUAUGAUAGCGCUUGGGCUGAAGGAGCCCCUCCGGAGUCUUUAACACACCCUCAGUGAGCGUAGAUGAUAUUAUUGACGGAUGAAUUUCCCUGGACAUGGAUUUAUCCGAAGUACUUGAUACCUGGAGAUAGAUUUCUCCACAGGGUUGGAUUUCCCUUUUUCCUCGGUACUGGGUGACUUAUAGUUAGUGUUGUAUAUGUUCCGGGAUGGAUUUUACUGGGCCGUAUACAGUUCCGAGUAUUUGAGCACGAUGAGUGGAAAGUGUGAGAUAGUGAGAUUGAGUACUUUAAGAGUGUGAGUACAUGAUUCAUCUCUGAGGUGCAUGGCAUUGGCAUGCACACAUGACAUACAAGCAUAGAGAUGCACUUUUUCUCAUGUUGUACGGUAUCACGUCAUUCAUGAUUUUUCAUACAUAUUGAUAUGUGGGAAUAAAGAGGUAUUUCACACUUGCUAUUUGGAAAGAAAGUGAAACAUCUUAUUUAUUUUGGAAAGGUCUUUGGAAAAAUUAUAGUUUUCAAACUAUCUCACAUUUUUUGACGAUUUCGGUAAAGGAUUUGAAUUUUCACUGAUAUUCUUGAAAAGUGGAACUAUUUCCAAAAACUGUGAAAAAGAGGAGCAUUUAUAUCUCUAAGUUACUUCCUUAUUUAUAUGUUUUACGUUGUUACGAACUGCUACUGGUUAUUGCUAUUGGACCCGACCUAUGUACCAGCUCAUCACUGAUUUCAAUCUAAGGUUAGGUUUGUUACUUACUUACUUACUAUAUGAGGUCGGUUGUACUGAUACUAUACUUCUGCAUAUUACGUGCAGAUGUUGUUGCUAUGCGCGAUGGUUGCCGGAUUUGAAGAUGUACCUGCGUUCCUGUUGUAGCUGCCUCUUGUUCAUGGUAGCCGUAGAAUUAAUAAAACUCUGUUUAUGUAUUUUUCAAAUAGAAGAUGCAUUUACUUCGUAUCAACUUUGUAAACUCUAUUCUUAGAAGCUCAUGAUUUGUACUACCAGUCUUUGAGAAAUGUAUAAGAUUCAGAUAAUUUCUUUUUCUUAAAUUGUCUUAUUAAAUAUUAUUGGAAUUGGAUAAUUAUUAGUAGGCUUACCUAGCCGGUUGAGUUAGGUGCCAUCACUACUAGUAGAUUUGGGUCGUGACAAUAUAUAUAUAAGAUUCUAAAAUGCUAAGCAAAAAGAGACCUUUUAAAUGGGUAUGGUUGAAAUUUAUUGAAAACAUAUAGAUGAGUGAAUAUAAAAAAUUUGAGGAAGAUUGGAGGUGAUUCAGACUGAUUUUGGUAUCAAAAUUCGUAGUUAAAAUCAAGUUCAAAAAGUUCUUCUGUGACACAUGUAUCAAACAUGUAUCACACAUGUAUAUCACAGACAAGUAUACAUAGAUAUACACGUGAUACACAUUUGAUAUAAAUAUGAUACAUAUGUGAUACACAUAUCAUCUUUUUCCAUGUUCGUCUUCUACUUUGAAUUUCCAAUUCAAAAACCUCAAAACUCUACCAAAUCUCAAAAUUGAGAUUUAAACUCCUUAAGAUGUAUCCGAUCUAUUGUAAUAACACCCACUCAAAAUAAAAUAAAAUUUUGAUAUUUUUUUUGCUACAAAUAUCUAAUUGGCUUAUAUUGGUAAUAAUUUAUGAAUUGACUAAUUUUUGUACUCACUUACUUAUGGGCUGACAUAACUAGUAAUUUUCCCAAAUAUACUUCUAACAUUUGCGAUUGUUUUAUAUAGGGAAAAUACAUAAAUACCCCAUUAAACUUAUCCAGAAAAUAUGUUUGAAUACUUAAAGUAAAUGAGUGUUCUUUUAUUCCCCCUUCCCCUUCCUAAACGUAUUGCAUGUGAAUUUUGUUCCACCCUCCAUUACACCAGACUAAUUAAAGACUAUCGAGUGUGGGCCACACUUUUUCUGGUGAUGCCACAUCAUUAAUGAGGUUGGUCAUUUUAAUGAUCCAGUCCUUAACUAAAAAAUCCACCCGAUUAAAAUGCCCAACCCGCAUGUGUUUAAUUUUUAACCUUGUUCUCUUAACCCGACCUCAUUUCUUUCUAAACACAAUGAGAAAAGGCUGAUGAACUCAAAACCUAGUGUUGAUUUUCCCCAAAUCUCGUCGAUUAAAGUGUAGCUACUAAAUAUUGUUGGCUUCUCUUGUAGGUAAUUCUUGUUUUCUUCAAUAUCUUGUCGAUUUUGAAGUGUAAAGAACUGUUGUUUUUCUUCUUUACUGAUUUCAGUUAGAAAAAAUGGCUUUUGAGCUUGUUAUACUGAGGAUCUUCCAUGGAGGUCAGUUACAACAAUGUCCUAUCAACUACAAAGGGGGUAUUAUGAUAGAUUACUUUGAUAUUGAUAUUGAAAGAUUUUCGUAUUAUGAGUUUCUAGAUUAUGUGAAAGAAAAUGGGUAUAAUUGUGAAAUAUAUUUUAUUUGUGUGAGACCACCCAAUUCUAGCACUUUGGUAAAUUUUUUAACAGAUAUGGAUAUUAUGGCUAUUGAGCCUCUGUUAGAAAACUGGGAUAUAUUUGAAGUGUAUGUGUCCCACUUUGUUAGUGAAGCAUUAGUGGUCCCUCCAGCUAUUGAAUGUGUAAGCCAUGUGUGUGGGGAAUCUAUUGUGUCUUUUGAUAAAAGGACAAAUCAAAGUGUUGGGGGUAGUGAAGGUAUAGGGUUUGAAGAACCACAAAAUAGUGUCCCUACUGCUGAUAAUGUGCCCGGUGAGGAUGAGGGUGGUCCUUCUAAUGAUGAUGAUAUUCAUUAGUUGAAUCUGAUGUGGAAAGCAGUGACCAUAGUACAGAUUCAGAACUUGAAGAGCUGUUUGAGGAAGGGGAAGAAAAAUAUGGUAGUGAUGUUGAUGAGGAGUAUAGGAGUUCAAGAGAAGAGAGGAAAAAGGUGCAGAGAAGGAGGAGAAAAGAGAAAUAGGUUGAAACUAGACAUGCCAAGUUAGGUAAAAAGGGUCCAGAUCUAGGAUAUAAUUAGUAUGCAGCUAGGAAGAAGACAUCUUUAGAAAGUAAGAUUGUUGGAGAUGAGCCAUCUUAUUGUCAUGAUCCCAAAUUUCCUUCGUAGGAUGUCGUGAUGGCACUUAGUCUCUAUGACUAGGUAAGCCUAACCGAUUAUAAUAACUUGGCGGAAACAAUUAUCAAAAUACUAAAACAAAGCUGAAUAACUGAUAUAACCUUCCAAAAGAAACCAUAAUCUCAUCAAUACACUCCCUAAGACUGGUAGAACGGAGUCAUAAGCUCUAUAGAAUAAAACUAGAAUAUCUAAGACAUCACUGUCUGAAAGAAAUACAACAACAACAACAACAAUAACAACAACAACAACAAAAAACCCAGUUUGAUCCCAACAGAUGGGGUUUGGGGAGGGUAGUCUGUACGCAGAACUUACCCCUACCUAAUGCAGGUAGAGAGGUUGUUUCCAAUAGACCCUUGGCUCAGGAAGGGCAAGAAGAAGGAGAGGAAAGCAAGGAAGGAAGAAAGAAAGAAGAGAAAAUAAAAUGGGAGAGAUAAAGAUAAGUAGUACAAAAUGAUAGCAACAGGAAAUACAAUACCUGAGGCGAACAAAACCACAUAACGUAAUAAAAAUCUAAGAAUAUGAAGGGACAUGCAUUCUACUAAGACUAUCGAUGAACAAUUAUAAAUUACCUACUAACCUUUUACCUUAAUCCUCGACCUCCACACCCUUCUAUCAAGGGACAUGUCCUCAGUGAGCUGAAAUAGCGCUAUGUCCUAUCUAAUCACCUCUCCCCAGUACUUCUUAGGCAUACCUCGACCUCUUCUCAAACUCUCCAUGGCUAACCUCUCAUACCUCCUGACAGGAGCAUCAAUGCUUCUUCACUUAACAUGUCCGAACCAUCUCAGCCUCGACUCCCACAUCUUGUCCUCCACGGAGGCUACUCCCACUCUAUCCCGGAUAGCUUCAUUCUUAAUCCUGUCUCUCCUGGUACACCUGCACAUCUAUCUCAACAUCCUCAUCUAUGCUACUUUCACCUUCUGCACGUGGAAGUUCUUGUUUGGCCAACACUCAGCCCCAUACAUCAUAGCCGGUCGAACCACCACUCGAUAAAACUUACCCUUAGGUCUUGGCAGCACAUUCCUAUCACAUAAAACACCAGAAGCGAGCCUCUACUUCAUCCAUCCCGCUCCAAUGCGAUGUGCGACAUCUUCGUCAAUCUCCCCGUUACCCUGGAUAAUAGACCUGAGAUAUUUAAAACUUGCUCUCUGAGGGAUAACUUGAGCAUCAAGCUUAACCACUAUGUCUGCAUCAUGGGUCCCGUCACUGAAUUUGCACUCUAAGUAUUCUAUCUUGGUUCUACUCUGUUUGAAACCUUUAGACUCCAAGGUCUGUCUCCAAACCUCUAACCACGCGUUAACUCUACUACGCGUCUUGUCAAUCAACACUAUAUCAUCGGCAAAUAGCAUGCACCAAGGCACCUCACCUUGGAUGUGUUACGUUAGUACAUCCAUCACCAAGGCAAAUAAAAAUGGGCUAAGAGCCGAUCCCUGGUGCAACCCCAUCACCACAGGGAAAUACUCCGAGUCACCACCCACAGUCCUCACCCUGAGUCUUAGCAUCAACAUACAUAUCCUUAAUCACCCUAAUGUACGCUACCGGAAUGCCGUUAAACUCUAAACACCUCUACAGGACCUCCCUCAGGACUUUAUCGUAUGCUUUCUUAAGGUCAUCUAAAAGAAAUACAAUAGGAAAUAAAAUAGGGAAGGGGCUCCGAGGCUUAUGGAUGCCGAGCAGGCAUACCUUGAAGUCUCCAUAAGGCAGCUACGAAUGAUCUCUAAUGACCGGCCCAAGCAAACGUACUUGGAUCUGCACAAAAAUAUGCAGAAGCGUAGUAUGAGUACACCACAUUGGUACCUAGUAAGUAUCAAUCCUAACCUCAGUAGAGUAGUGACGAGGCUAGGUCAAGACACAUACUAAGAUAUAAAUAGACAGUAUGAAAAUGUAAUAAGGGCAAAUAAUGAAAAGUGGAGAAAUAAUUGAUACAAGCCAAGAUAAUAACAUGAAUUAAAAUGGAAGUUUAACAUGGAAAUAGAAUAUAAGAAACAACUAAGGAGAUUACAAUGAUCAUAUACGGGCAACAACUUCUAGAACAAUAAAGAAUGAAACAACAAGAAAUAUUCCUACCAAAAGUCUUUGCAACAUGAAAUAAACAGUAAGAAUUACAAUGAGUUACUGCCUCGUGUACAAUAAAAUCACAACCGAGGUACUGCCUCGUAUAAUCAAGAAUCACAACUAAGGUAUCGCCUCGUAUUCACAUUUCUCAAUUUCAAUCACAAUUUUUCCUUAUAUCGCCGCGUGAGCCUUACAUUUGAAAUGGAUUUUGAAAAUAGUUUUCCGAAAUAGCUACUCGCACUUUAGCUCACCUUAUGACAUUGCAUGGCUUCACGUAGUUUCCCUACAAGCAACAUGCACAUAAAUCCUACCUUAUACCGCCGCAUGCACAUCAACCCCAAGCCUUAUAGCGCUGCAUGCGCAUCAAAUUCACAUUACCAUAACAACUCCCACCACAAGUACCCAUAUAUCACAAUUUUCCAACAAUCCACAAUAUCAACAUUUCCACAAUAAUAGCCCAUGGCUCCUCCACAUCGGGUACAAGAAUAUCAACAACAACAAUGAAUGUAAAAUGCUCAAAAGGAAGAUGUUUCAACAAUAACAAUUUCGCCUCAACGUGAUAACGACUUUCACAACUUCAUCACCAAUAACUCAACAACAUGUAACCACGACGUUAAUUAAGAAUAACUCACAAUGGAAGAGAUAACAUGUACCAAUGACUUCAUAUAAUGGAAAUCAAUAAUGAAAGAGAUAACAUGAACAAUAACUUCAAAUAAUGGUAAUCAACAAUGAAAGAGGUAACAUGAACGAUAACUUCAAUUAACGAUAAUCAACAAUGAAAAAGAUAACAUGUAUAAUGACUUCAAAUAAUGAUAAUCAACAAUGAAGACAUAGCAUGUAACAAUAAAGGAGGCAACAAGUUCAACUAAAGCAUGAGAGCAAUUUAUCAAUUAGGAUGUAGAACAAGUGUUAAUGAAAUCAUAUGAGGCAUAUAAGGAUAUACUAACACAAGUAAGAAUAGAUUGAUUAGGAGAAUAUAGAACAUGAUAUGGCAUUUCAAUUAAAGCAUGGAAAUAGUCUAAGUAGCCUAAACCGGUCAAAUACCAUGCACAACCCGUGUACCCACUCGUCACCUUGCGUACACGGAUUUCACGUAGCACAAUUGAAUCAAACAAUAACAAUCCUAAGGAGUAGUUCACCCACACGAAGUUAAGCAAGACACAUACCUCAACUAGGCCAAAUCAACACUAAGAAAUAGCUUUUUCCUUAAAAUCCACAUCCACACGACCCUAAUCUAACCAAAAUCGACUUAAUAUCAUCAAACAAUGCUAGGGAAUUCAAUUGCAAUAGAUAAAGCUAAGAUAUUAACACCUUUUUUUUUAAAAAUUAACAAAAGUCAACCCCGGAGCUCUCCCGGUCAAAAUCCGGGUCUAAUGGUAGAUUCUGUCUAUCCAUGAACCACGAGUUCAUAUAUGUGAUUAGUUUCAAAAUCCGAGUCCAAAUCGACUCUCAAAACUCAAUUUCUUAUUUUUCAAAAGCUUGACAAAGUUUCAAAAUUUUUCACUUUGAUUGACAUAAUUUUGAUGUUAAAAUCUAAGAUAUGUUGAUGGAAUAUGAUUAGAAUCACUUACAAAAGGUUUGUAUGUGAAAAUCUCAUCUCCAAAUCGCCUCCUACCGAGUCUAGGGUUAAAAAAUGAGAGGAUGAGAGCUAAAAUCCCGACUUUCAGCCCUUAUAUUCAGUUGUAGUUAUCACAAUUGCGAUAUGGGUUCGCAAAUGCGAAGAAAAUCUCGCAAUUGCGGCAUUGACAUGCAUGAGAAGCUCUUUGUAAAUGCGAAGAUGGGUUCACAAUUGCAAACCUUGCUGGCCUCGGAAUUGCUUCAAAAACCAUCGCAAAUGCGAACCUAGCCCAGCCCAGAAUUUCUUUGCAAAUGUGAGUUCCCUACGAUGGUCGCAAAUGCCACCCUAGUGUUCACAAUUGUGACACCAGAGGGCACCACACACUAGUCUUUGAAAAAUUCAGUCCAGCACACUCCGAAACAUCUUCGAAACUCAUCCGAUCCCCCCGGGCUCCAAACCAAACAUUCACACAAGUCUAAAAAUAUCAAACGAACUCACUCGCGUGAUCAAACACAAAAAUAACAUCUAAAACUACGAAUCGAACACUAAAACGCAUGAAUUUCAAAGUAAUGUACAAGAAUUUCUAAAAUUACAACUAAGCAUCCGAAUCCUAUCAAAUUAACUCCAAACGAUAACAAAUUUUACAGGAAAGUUCUAAAUACCAUAACAGACCUAUUCCAAGUCCCAAAAUGUAAUUCCGAGCUCAAUAGCUCAAAGUCAACCUACGAUCAAACUUUUCAACUUCAAAUUAUCAAAUUUCGGCAAAAUCAACAUAAAGCAACCUAUGGACAUCCAAAAUCAAUUCUGGGCAUACUUCCAACUCCAAAAUCAUGAUACGAAGCUAUCGAGCCAUAAAAAUACAGUUCUGUGGUCAUUUCCGCAAAAGUCAAAGUUUGGUCAAAAUUUUCUAAUUUAAACUUCUAGGUCAAGAAUCAAGGGUCCAAAUCAACCUGAAAGUUUCCCGGAACGAGUUUAACCGACCCCGCAAGUUAUAAAACCAUAAACACAUAUGUAUGAAGAAUCGAAAGGGUAAACAUGACGAAAUUACACAAACGACCGAUCAGUUCGUUACAUUUUCCGCCUCUUAAAACAAACGUUCGUCGUCGAACGUGCAUAAGGACAUACCUGAAGUGGUGAAUAAAUGAGCAUAACGACUCCACAUGUCGUGCUCGGUUUCCCAAGUCACCUCCUCUACCGGAUGACCCAUCCAUUGAACCUUCACUGAUGUAAUGUUCUUUGAUCUCAACUUCCGGACCUGCUUGUCCAAGAUAGCUACAUGUUCCUCAAUAUGAGUCAAAUCCUCGUCCAAUUGGACUGUGUUGAAGUCUAGAACAUAAGACGGAUCACCGUAAUACUUCCAAAGCAUAGAAACAUGGAACACUAGAUUAACCACAGAUAAACUAGGUGGCAGAGUAAGCUUGUAGGCCACCUCUCCAAUCUUCUCAAGGAUCUCAAAAGGUCCGAUAUACCUAGGGCUCAACUUGCCCUUCUUCUCGAACCUCAUCACACCUUUCAUGGGAAGCAAGACUCGCUCUCCAACUAUGAAUGCAACAUCACAAACCUUCUGAUCCGCAUAACUUUUCUGUCUAGAUUGGGUUGUACAAAACCGAUCCUGGAUCAUCUUGACUUUCUCCAAAGUAUCUCGAACCAAAUCCAUGCCUAAUAACUUAGCCUCUCCCGGCUCAAAUCACCCAAUUGGAGAACGACACCGUCUCCCACAUAGAGCCUCAUAUGGAGCCAUUUGAAUGCUCGAUUGGUAGUUGUUAUUGUAGGAAAACUCUACAAGUAGCAAGAACCGAUCCCAAGCACCGCCGAUAUCCAUAACACAGGGUGCGAAGCAUAUCCUCCAAUAUUUGAAUAGUGCGCUCGGACUGUCCAUUCGUCUGAAGGUGAAAUGUUGUACUCAACUCAACCCGUGUGCCAAGCUUACGUUGUACAACUCUCAAGAAAUGCGGUGUGAACUACGUACCCCGAUCAGUGAUGAUGGAUACAGGUACUCCAUGAAGUUGGACAAUCUCAUGGAUAUAAACUUAAGCCAGCUACUCUGAAGAACUGGUAGUCACUGCUGGAAUGAAAUGAGUCGACUUGGUCAACCUGUCCACAAUCACCCAUACCACAUCAAAUUUCUUCUAAGUCCAUGGGAUCCCAACAAGAUGUCCAUAGUGACACGCUCCCAUUUUCACUCGGGAAUCUCAAGUCGCUGAAGCAAACCACCCGGCUACUGAUUCUCAUACUUCACCUACUGACAAUUUAGGCACCAAACUACUUACUCCACUAUGUCUUUCUUCAUACUCCUUCACCAAUAGUGCUGCCUCAAGUCUUGAUACAUCGUAGCAGUACCCUGAUGAAUGGAGUACCGCAAACUGUGGGCCUCCUGAAGAAUCAACUCACGCAAACCAUCCAUGUUAGGCACACAUAGACGGCCCUGCAUCCGUAAUGUACUGUCAUCUCCAAUAGAAACCUCCUUGGCAUCGCCGUGCUGAACCGUGUCCUUAAGGACAAGCAAAUAAGGGUCUUCAUAUUGUCACUCUCUAAUACGAUCAUAUAGAGAAUACCGAGAAACCAUGCAAGCAAGAACUCGACUGGGCUCCGAAACAUCCAAUCUAACAUAUUGGCUGGCUAAGGCCUGAACAUCCAAUGCUAAUGGCCUCUCCGCUACUGGUAGAUAUGCUAAACUACCCAAACUCUCCGUAUUUCGACUCAAGGAAUCAACCACCUCACUGGCCUUCCCAAGAUUAUCAUAGUCCUUAAGUAACUAUAACUACCUCCACUGUCGCAAGUUAAGAUAUUUCUGCUUGAAUAGGAUAUUGUAGACUCCGAUGGUCGGUAAGGACCUUACAAGUAUCUAUACAUAUAAUGCCACCAGAUCUUCAAUGCAUGAACAAUGGAUGCCAACUCCAAGUCGUGGACUGAAUAAUUCUUCUCAUGGGUCUUUAACAGUCUAGACACGCAGGCAAUCACCCUACUAUCUUACAUCAACAUCACACCAAGGCCAACACGUGAUGCAUCACAGUACACAAUAUAAGACCCCGAGCCUGUAGGCAACACCAACACUAGGGAUAUAGUCAAAACAGUCUUGAGCUUUUGAAAGCUCUCCUCACACUCCUCAGUCCAUCUGAACAGAGCACCCUUUUGGGUCAAUCUAGUCAUACGUUCAACAAUAGAUGCGAAACCCUCUACGAAAUGACGAUAAUACCCAGCCAAACCAAGGAAACUUCGAAUCUCAGUAGCUGAACACGGUCUGGGCUAACUCUACACUACUUCAAUCUUCUUCUGAUCUACCUUGAUCCCCUCACUCGACACCACAUGACCCAAAAAUUCCAUCGAAUAAAGCCAAAAUUUACACUUUGAGAAAUUUGCAUACAACCACUUUCUCUCAUUGUCUGGAGCACCAUCCUCAAGUGCUGCUAUUGAUCUUCCCGACUGCGGGAGUACACUAGGUUGUCGUCAAUAAACAUAAUGAUGAAGAAAUAAAGAUAAGGCUAGAAUACACUUUUCAUCAGGUGCAUAAAUGCUGCUGGGGCAUUGGUCAACCCAAAUGACAUCACAAAGAAUUUGUAGUGACUAUACCGAGUCCUAAAGGCAGUCUUCGGAAUAUCCGGAUCCCGAAUCCUCAGCUGAUGAUAACCUGACCUCAAAUCAAUCUUUGAGAACACUCUGGCACCCUGUAGCUGAUCAAAUUAGUCGCCAAUACCUGGCAAUGGAUACUUGUUGAUCCACGUCCAAUCCGCACUCAAUAGUGAGUGAAAACGAUCGUUGGAAGAAUAGUAUCCAACACGAGUCGGGGUCAAUUUUCACAGGGAUUUUAAUAUGGGUGUUAGGGUGUAUACUUGAUGAGAGUAAAUGAAGUAACUCAAUUACACUUCCAAACAAGGGAUUUUGUUUUCUACUUCAAAUUUAACACUAGCAAUUGUAAACUAAUGAGAAGAAACUAGAAAGCAAGUAAUUGUUUUUGUUGUUUUUACCAAAUGGUUAAAAGGACUAGGGAUGAAACCUUCACCUAGUAUUCGCCUAAUGGGUUAAGUAUGUUACCACUUAUUUUAUUGACCGGGAUGUAUUAUAACUUUCAACUCUGAGUUACCCACUCAAUACCUCUCGAUCAUAGAGUGAUUUUGCCUAAUUUUGCUUUCUUAAGCCCAAAUGAGUAUCAAGCUAAAUACUUGAUAUGAGCUCAAGUCGGGUUUUCCCUAUCUCUAUCUAAAACCCUUUUAUUAGGCUAAUCAAAUCCUUAACUAGCCCAAUUUCUUAUUAGCCAAGUUUUCCUAGACUAAGUUCCUUUUUCUCAAGUAAAGACCAAGUCAAAAAGGCAUGAAACAAUGUUUGCAACUAUUAAUUCUAUAACUAAAGCAUAAACAAGGCGGAAUAACAAACACCCAAUCAUAAAAAAAUAUUAAAUUAAAUACCCAUAAGGUUUACACACUAGGGUUGAGUUACAACCCUAGUAAAAGUCUAGCUACUCAUAGUAGAAAAUGAAGAAAACAAAGAAGAAAUACUAAUUAGACCCAUAAUAGAAAAUUAAAAUGAUAAACUAUGAUGUUUUAAUCCCAAAAUGAUCACAAAUUUCCUAAAAUGGAAAACUACAACGGCUACAGUUGCUAGAACUUCCAAACUUGACCUAAAAAUGUGAUUCCCAUCUUUUUAUAGUGGCCUAAAAUUUGCUAACAAAAAUGCCCCUCGCGAGGUCCUGCGGCAGUACAAUUCCAUGUGUAGUACGCACAUUGCUUGAAUUUGCAACGAACUGGAUUUUGCAGCCGCACAAUUUGGUAUACGACUGCGAUUUAGCUUUUGCGGCUGCACAAUUUAUGUGCGGGCUGCAUAAUUUAUGUGCGGUCCACACAUUAGGAGAGCCUUUAAGUCUUGGUCAAUUGCACACUCCCUGAACCUUUUGAAUUCUUGUUAGUACGGACCAUGUUCUGCGGCCGCACAAAUUGUACGUAGUCCGUGCCUUUACUUCAAGUACUGCUGGGCUUCUUCAUCAGUUCUGCGGACGCAGAGGAAUUCUGCGGUCCACACUUGCUUCUGCGGCCGUAUAAAUACUUCUACGGACUAUACCUCUUGUGUGCUGUGCCCCUUCUUUCCUUGUGUGUCGGAACACUCCUUUUUGAUUUGGAUUUCUUCAUAAGAGCCCAAAUUUCGAACAUUCUUGCAAUUUGCACACUUUGUUAGUUUUGGGAAAUAAAUCAAUACUUUCAGGCUAAAACAAAAGUAAAAAAGUACUAAUAAAUGGUCAAAAUCCACACUUAUCAACUCCCUCAAACUUGAGUCUUUGCUUGUCCUCAAGCAAAUAGAUUAGUUCCCACCUCCUCAAAGUGAAAGGUCAUUUCAGCGAGUCAAUGGUGAGCCAUUCAUACUCAGUUGGGACCAACAAUUACCCAUACUACUCAUGAAUUAUCAACAAUAUUCAUGCACAUAUAGGUCAAACGUGACAUUUGAGCUUCAAAAAUUGACUUUACUCAUCAAAGACUCUUGUUCUAUCAUGUAGGUCAUGGUGGACUCCAAACUCUUCCUCGUCUACCUUCUAUUUGCCAAUAUCACUUCAAAAGUUAGCACUCAAUCUUAAUAUUCAUUAAAGGAUCACUCUUCUCUCCCAAGAGAAUGUCACAAGUACGGCUUCAAGUAUCAUAGGCUUGCCCCUUAUGUAGAUCACCACUAAUUUAAACUCGGUUCAAAAUAAAGUAGGACUUCUUUCGGGUUGUAAUGAAGACUUUUGGAUUAGGGUAGGAUACCUUAUGGGUACGUGGUUACACCUUUCCUUAAGCACUCCACAUUUUCAUUUCUCGGCUCACAAUUACCAAUUCUUAGAGGCAUUCUCUUUUUUUUUUAUUAUUAUUGGGGGUUAGAGAAACUUGACAUCAUUCUUUCUUGUUCAUUUCAUUCUUUGUUUUCUCCCUCAUGCUUAUGUUAGGGAUCAUUACCUCUUUUUGAAUCCAUCAACUCUUCCCCUUAUUCUUUUUUUUUUUGCAUUUUUCUUUUUGUUCUAUUUCUUUUCUUGCCUUCUCUUUUAAUAGAGAUCAUUUUUUUUCUCUUUUUGUGCCUUGAUACCUUUUUCAAAUUCCUCAUCUCUCCCCCAAACUUAUGCGUUAAGCCACUUAUUUCACAAGAGUGUUAAGGAAAGUUCGGGUGCCAAGAGAAGAUCACGACAAAACGGGUAAAGGCUUAUUAUAUGGUUAUCAAAUCAGAAAGGCUAAAGGCUCAAAGGGGUUGACUAGGGAUAGUGACGUUGGUUGGAAAUAGAAAACUCAAACGGACCAAGCAAAGCCUACAAUCAUUUCUCAAACCAAGCAAAACUUAGGAUUUUGUCUUGAAGCACAUUCGGGGCAAAUUCUAGACCAUUCGUACGGAUGCUUGGACUAGCAACAAAUCAUCUCACCCGUCACGCAACUAGAACAUAAAAGAGGAUAGAGUCGAGAACCUACAACAAACACAAUUAAUUUUAAAGAUAACUAUGGUCCAAUAAACCACUCGAUGAUUGCCAAAGUCAACUCAAGAGUCUCAUAGUCACUAACUAGAGCUAUUUUCUUCCAAAAACCUUGUUUCGAACCACAAGUACGUAGUUAAGUGUGUUGGUACCAAAUGAAACAUGAGUAACUCUUUUUUGAGAAUGAAUUGAUUUGACCUCUUAUUCAUUACUACUACUAUUAUUCCCUAAACACAAAAACAGACUCAUUCCCUUAAGAAGGUUGUCAUGCCAUCCAUUGUUGGGACGAGUCACCCGGUUCACACAAAAACUAUCUUUGAAAAGAACCGUGGUGUUAAGAAAACCAAAGGCUUAUUAUCUACGAAAGCGUCAAAAGAAGCUACUAACAAAACAAGAACUAUAGUGAAAAAUAAAGAAGCUAAUGAACAAUAACUACUAAAGAUAGAUAAAUACAAAUAAGAAAAGGAAGAGAAUCAUCAAAUUAUUACAGUCCAAAUGUAUUCAAAAUGUGUCAAUGUAUCAAUCUAACUCCACCUCCCCCCUCUCGAAUAAAAGUAAGCAUUGCCCCCAAUGCUUAAAAAAAUAAGAAUGAAAUAAGAGAGGGAAAGAAAAACUCCCUAAGGAUCCUUGGACAUCUCAGUGUCCCCGAAAAUAUCAUUUCCCGCCAAGUUAGCCAACUAUAUCAUCAUCAUCAUCAUCAAAUUUGGGCGUGGCUGGAGUGGUGAACAUCACACGCACUGCCUCAACAGUGUUGGCUGCAAGGUCUGGCUCCUCAGACUGGCCAGCUGGUGCAACCGGUGUGGAUGGUGCCAAUGGAUCUGGGGCUGAAUAGUGCGGGUCAAGUAGCAUAUCAAAAGGUAGGUCCCCAGCUGUCGCAAGUCUAGUCACCUUCUUUAUGAGCUUGUCAACUGAUUUCUUGCUUGCUUGGGACUUCCUUAUCUUCUUCACUUCUUUUUCCAACUCCUCAAUAACCGACCCGUGCUUCACCAAGGUGUCCAUGAUCAUCUACUGGUUGUAUAGAAUCUUCUUGAGCAUCUCAUCAAUGUUAGAGGAUGCCUGUGGUGCCUGUGUAGUGACUGCGCUGCAACAGUACUAGAUAAGUCAAACAACUUUAAAGUAGCUAUCUACAUCUAGUUGUUGAGACUUGCCAAUAUCUGGGAGACUCACAGAGCAGAUAAUGAAGUUGUAGGGAUAAGCACUAACCUCAAAGCUGGAGUAAAGGAUGCCCUAGGGGUCGUGGUAGGAGCUGAGGAUGAUGGCAGAUGCAUAACACUAGCACUAGAAGAGAGCUCAGCAAAGGUGGAUGGAAGGUCAGUUGUCUCAGAAACUACCAGUGCCGGCUCAUCAGACGGGCCUGUGGUGGUAGAAGGCUAGGCUUUCUUCUUUAAGUUGGUCUCAUCCAUCAGUGAAUACCAUUCAAAUGGCUUAUUUGGCUUUACCUUGGUAUCAAAUGAUCUCGACUCUACCUUAGCAUCAGUGAGGUAUUCUGUGAUAAUGUUGGGAUAAGGGUAGGCCGAGCUAGCCUGCUGUGCUAUCAGUGAAAUGUUGGCUGACAUCAUGGCACCCAAAUUAAUUAGGUACCCGACCAUGAUGGAAUCCACAAGAACAACCCAAGGAAUAGGUAGAUGAGUCUCUUCUGACAAUGAUCUAGUCUGCUACAAACAAAGGUCUGCCACCCCUUCGCCUUGAAGCUCAUUGUGUUCCGCUGAAUGGGAACCCCAAUUGUAAUCCAUGGUGGUGGUGGUCCUGGUGGUGCUAAGAUCUCAGCCGACCAAGGUCGGACUUCUUCCUUUAUUGCAUAUUUCUCCAAGCACUCCUUUGGCUCCACGUCUUCAAAUCCCAAGUACACGUUUAACGUAUACUGAUCAAACCUCACCUUGAGGUUGCGUACUUUGGUCACCUUCGUCCCCUUCUUGAUGUAGCAACAUUUGCAUAGAACUCUCAGACAAGGUAUUCCUUUGCAUCCUCAACACUCUUAGUAAACCACAUCCAACCCUUUCUUGCUCUAAACUGCCUCAAGAUCGCUGUGUUGUAUUUCUCCAAAUCCUUCAAUAGGAACUGUCUCACAAGUGUCAAAGACCUCACUGGCCACCACAUACAAAAAUUAGUGAAGGCAACCAAGCUGACAAACCUAUCCUCCCAUACCCCUUUGUUCUUUGAUCUCUCUACACUCGUAGCUGUACCAUCUCCCCUUCUAUCGUCAUUGGGAUCUCUUGAACAGUUUGUGCCUUUGGUGUAGCUGCUGGCUCAGAGGCCUGGCUAACACUCUACAACCCCUCAGAGGUGCUGUGAGAUGAAGAGGGCUCAUCCUUGAGCUGGUAUCGCUCUUGUAGCCUAGACUAAGUGGUUGUCUACUCCCCUGAAUAGAGGCUGAGUUUCCCUCUCAUACUUCCCUAGACGGGACAUAGGAAUUAGACACAGAGAGGUCUGCAACUCUCCCUCUGCCUGCUGUGGAUUUCUUUUAGAUGGUUUUGGGCUGGCCAAGGGGAAAGUUACCUCUACCUCGACCCUUGGAAGAUUUACCUCUUGCCUUUAUAUUGUCGCCUCGACCUCAUGAUCGCACCAAUGUCUGUGUCAAAGCAACGAAGAUUGUAAGUUGCAAUUCAUCAUUCAACACCUUCAAGACUUAUGUAGGGGGGAGGGAAUUAGACACAGUGGGGUUGUGAGUAACACAGGUCUGUAGGUAAUGGGUUCUGCGGUCCGUAGAAUUUGGUUGUGCAGUAGUAGAAAGGAAGUGCGGUCCGUACAAUUGCAAGUGCAUCCGCACUUCAGACUUUUCAAAGUUCAGAGUCUCAAAAGACAGUGUGAUGGCUGAUAUACGACCUUAAGAGAAAUCUGCGGUCCGCACAUUUUAAAUUGCGGCCGCAGAUCCCUUGCUUCACUAAGUUGCCCAGACCUCCUAAUCUGUGGUCCACACAAAUUCAAGUGUGGCAGCAAAUUUUAAAAAGUACGAACAAUCAUAUUUUUUCUACUUAGUUUUUUUCGUUUCUUGCACAAAUAAACAUGGUAAAAAUAUGAAAUUUUACUAACCCAAUCCCACUAGAGCAUGUAUUAUGAUUACCAGUUUAGAUCUACCCCACAUGGAUACAUGGAUGAACUCUAAUAAUAGAUGGUCCAAAAAGAAACUAAACUUCUAAAAAUUAAACUAAUACAAAAAUUUAACAAGAAUUGAAGCAUACCAGAUAGAGUGAGUGCAACGGGUGAAUAUUCACAGGUGGUUGUGUGUGGGGAUAGCUAAAAUCUCUCAUGGAAAUCAACAGAGCAACAAUGUUUGUUCGGAGAAGGAAAAGUGUAAAAUGAUCACUAUUCUUCUAUUUAUACCAAGUGAUUGAAAAAAGGAAAAGAGUUAAGUGCGGACCGCACAUUCUGUCAUCUGGGUUGAAAGUCUCUGAUCUCAAUAUGAGGUCCGCACAUUUUUAGGUACGUCCACAGAUUUCACAUACGGUCAUAGAUCAGCCUCCACACUGAUAGGCUCAAACUUUAGAGAGUUAACAUUUUGAUACUUUUUCAUUAUUCCAAACAUGCGGUCCGUAUGAGAAAUGUGCGGCCGCGAUUCCUUUCAGCUGUGGCACAUAUAAUUGUGCGGUCCGCACAAAUAAAGUAUGGUCCGCAGAUCAUUUGAACACUUAGACAUAUUUUUGUUCACCUUUCUUGCAAGUCACACUCAUCCCUGUAGCACACUUCAAGUCAAGUUAGAACACAAAUAACACCUAACUACAAAAAAAGGAAAAGAACAUGGGUUGCCUCCCAAGAAGCGCCUGAUUUAACGUCGCAGCACGAUGCAAAAUACCCUCAAGUGAAGUGAAUGACUGCCACCACGUGGCUAUCUUUAACCUUGCCCAAGUAAUGCUUAACCCGGUGAUCAUUGACUUGAAAUACUUCAUUGUUUUUGUUCUUCAAGUCUAAUGCACCAAAAGACGUCACAUCAACAAUUUCAAAUGGACCACUGCACUUGGAUUUUAGCUUCCAAGGAAACAUUCUCAACCUUGAGUUAAACAACAAUACAAGAUCCUACACCUUGAACUCUUUGUUCCAAAUGUAUUUGUCAUGAAGAUAUUUCAUCUUUUCUUUGUACAGUGACGAACUCGCAUAUGCAUGGUACCGAAACUCAUCCAAUUCAUUCAAAUGUGCAACCCUCAAGUUAUCGACUACAUCCCAAUCAAUAUUCACCUUUUUUAGAGCCCAUAUUGCCUUGUACUAUAUUUCCACGGGAGACGAUAAGCUUUUCCGAACACCAACCUGUAUGGUGACAUUCCGAUAGGUGUUUUGUAAGCCGUCUGAUAAGCCCAUAAUACAUCAUCAAGAUUCUUAGACCAAUCCGUCCGAUUAGCAUUCACUAUUUUAGACAAGAUACUCUUUAUCUCCCAGUUGAAGACUUCCACUUGCCAAUAGGUUGUGGAUAAUAGGGAGUCGUGACUUUGUAAGUAACACUAUACUUGAUUAGUAAAGUGUCAAAAACUUUGUUGCAAAAGUGUGACCCCCUAUCACUUAUGAUUGCACGUGGAGUAUCAAACCUUGUGAAGACAUUGCUCUUCAAGAAGGCCACUACACUUCUCGCCUCAUUGUUGGGUAAAGCGGAGGCCUCAACCCAUUGGGACACAUAAUCCACUGCCACUAAGAUAGAGGUGUUUCCGCAAAAACUCACAAAAGAGCUCAAGAAGCUAAUGACCCAAACAUCGUUAAUACCAAUCUUCAAGAUGGUUGGGAGGGGCAUUUAAUUUUUCUUUGAGAUUCCACCGGCCCGUUGACAUUCAUCACAACGUUUCACCAACUCGCUAGCAUCCUUGUAAAGAGUAGGCCAAUAGAAACCACAACUAAGCAUUUUGGCUGCCAUUCUUGCUCCCCCACGAUAACCACCAUAUGGCGAAGAAUGAAAAGCCCCAAGAAUAAUACCUUGCUCUUCUUCCGGCACACACCUCAUAAUCACCCCAUUCGUACAAAUCUAGAAAAGGUAUGGUUCAUCCCAAUAAUAAUCUUGACAAUCCCUUUUGUGCUUCUUCCUUUGGCUUGAAGAGAACUCAUCCGGAAUGAUUCCACACACAAGAAAAUUUGCUAAGUCCAUGAACCAUGGCACCUCUUUCAUUGAAUUUGCCAAAAGUUGCUCAUUGGGGAAGGAGUCAUUGAUUUCAAGGCCAUCAUGCCGCCUCCCCCCUCCUCCAAACGAGACAAGUGGUCCGCCACUUUGUUUUCACUACCUUUCCUAUCUUGGAUGUUAAUAUCAAAUUCUUAUAACAAGAGUACCCAUCUCAUCAACUAAGCUUUGGAGUCCUUUUUGUUCAUAAGAUAACAAAGCACCGCAUGAUCCAUGUGGACAAUAACUUUUACACCUAUCAAGUACGGGCAUAACUUUUCAAUUGCAAACACAAUAGCAAGGAGCUCUUUCUCCAUGACGAUAUAGUUGACUUGGUCACUAUUCAUGGUCUUACUAGCAUAGUAGACCAGAUGGAAAAUCUUGUUGAUAUGUUGCCCCAAAAUAGCCCCAACCUCUACAUUACUUGCAUCGCACAUGAGUUCAAAAGGCACACUCUAAUUUGGAGCAGUGAUGAUAGGAGUAGUUCUCAACUUGAGCUUCAACAAUUCAAAAGCUCUCAUGCAAUCAUCAUUGAAAUUAAACUUUACAUCCUUCUCAAGAAUCUUGCACAACGAGUUUACCAAUUUAUAGAAGUCUUUGAUAAAACGCCGGUAAAAUCCUGCAAGGCCUAAGAAACUCCGCACACCCUUCACUGAAGUUGGGGGUGGAAGCUUAGAAAUCACCUCAAUCUUUUCCUUGUCAACUUCAAUUCCAUUCUUUGAGAUUUUAUGGCCAAGGACAAUACCUUCCUCAAUCAUGAAAUGAUAAUUCUCCCAAUUGAGUACCAAAUUGGUUUCUUCACAUCUAGCCAACACGUUGUCCAAAUUUGCAAGACAAUCGUCAAAAGAAUCCCCGACUACCGAGAAGUCAUCCAUGAAAAUUUCAAGGUUGUCCUCCACCAUGUCCAUGAAAAUAACUAUCAUACACCUUUGAAAAGUUGCCGGUGCAUUUCACAAACCAAAUGGCAUCCGCUUGAAAGCAAAAGUACCAUAUGGACAUGUAAAUGUUGUUUCUUCUUGAUCUUUCGGAGCAAUAAGAAUUUUGUUGUAGCCCGAGUACCCAUCAAGAAAAUAAUAGAAAGCACGUUCGGUCAAUCUAUCGAGCAUUUGAUCUAAGAAAGGAAGUGAAAAGUGAUCCUUCCUUGUUACUUCGUUGGUCUUGCGAUAAUCCAUACACACCCUCCUAACGGUCACCAUUCUUGUAGGAAUUAAUUCAUUCUUUUCAUUGGUGACCACCGUCAUGCCCCUUUCUUUGGAACACAUUGAACCGAAGAACUCCAUAAACUAUCAGAGAUGGGGAAGACAACCCUGGCAUCCAACCACUUGAUAAUCUCCUUCUUGACAACUUCUUGCAUAGCGUCAUUGAGUCUUCUUUGAUGUUCAAUAUAUGGUUUAUCUCCAUCCUCCAACUUGAUCUUAUGCAUGCAAAAGGCGAGGCUUAUACCCCGAAUAUCUGUCAAAGUCCACCCAAUAGCCUUCUGCCUCUUUUGUAGCACCACCAAUGUGGAAUCUACCUGCACGUUAGUCAAAUAAGAGGAAAGAAUAAAUGGUAAAAUAGAACAAGGGCCAAGAAAUUCAUACCGAAGAUGUGGAGUCAAUGACUUCAACUCUAAGUAAGGUGGCUCUUCAAUAGAAGGCUUUGUAGGAGGAGUCUUCCUAUUUUCAAGAUCCAAUGACAAUUUCCGGGGUGCAUAGUUGUACGACCCCAUUCCAUGCAAAGAGUUCACAUAUUUCAUGAAGCUAUCCAUCUCGUCAUCAUCAAAAUUGAGCAAGACGGCCUCCAACAUAUCACUAGCAUUUAUUGUAGAACUUGUAUCAUCAACAAUGACAUCGGUCACCAAAUCCAUAAAAGAACACACCUCAUUGCUAUUUGGUUGCCGAAUGGACUUACAUACAUGAAUACCACUUUUUCAUCACCAACGCAAAAUAUGAGUUCUCCAGAUUUAACAUCACAAAGAGCCUUACAUGUAGCAAGAAAAGGUCUCCCAAGAAUAAUUGGCACCUUAUAAUCAACUUCACAAUCUAGAAUGACAAAAUCCGCCGGAAGAAUGAAUUUAUCAAAACAGACAAAAACAUCUUCAAUCACACCCAAAGGCCUUUUCAUGGUACAGUCAAACAUUUACAUCUCAUAGAGAUAAGUCUUGGUUGCCCAAUACCCAAAGUCUUGAAAACUGAAUAGGGCAUCAAAUUUAUACUUUCCCCAAGAUCACAAAGAGCUUUAGCAAACUUUGCACUUCCAAUUGUAUAAGGAAUCGUGGAAGCACCAAGAUCCUCCAACUUGGGAGCCAUUGAAUGAACAAUUGCACUAAAUUGAUGAGUGACUUUGAUAGUUUCAAAAUUCAUUGACCUCUUCUUUGUCAAAAGAUCUUUCAUAAACUUUGUAUAACCAGGCAUUUGUUCCAAAGCUUCAACCAAUGACACAUUAAUUGAAAGACUCUUCAUCAUUUGCAUGAACUUCUUGAAUUGAUUCUCACCAUUUUGCUUGGAAAGUCUUUGAGAGUAUGGAGGUAGAGGAUUAGGUAAUGGUGCCUUUGCCUUUUGCACUACCAGCUCCAGUAUGUCAAUAAUGUGUUCCCUAGACGAGUUUACCUCCUCUUGAGUCUCUUCCACACUAUCAUCAAUAUCAAUCCGAACUUCCUCAUUAGGUUGAACAACAAUGGUUGAGAUCUCUUCUUCUUGCAUCACUUGAUCAUCAUCAACAAGGCGCCUUCCACUUGAGGUGGGUGCAUUCCUGCCUCUUUAACUUCUUGUGAUAAUUGCCAUAGCACACCCUGUAUCGUACCACCCUUUGGGUUUACUACCGUGUCUCUAGGUAGUGCCCCCUUAGGACAAGAAUUCAAAGCUUGAGAGAUUUUCCCCAUUUGAACUUCUAGGUUGCAGAUUGAUGUGCUAUGUGAGGCAAGUUGGGUAUCCAAAUCGACAUUCUUUUUCGUCAUUUGCUUGAACAUAUUCUCACUAUGUCCCAUCUCAUUGUUUGAAGAACUUAACCCAUGGUAAGGAUAAGGAGGUGGGUUGCUCGGUUGUUGAUACAUUGCGGACCUUUGAAAACCCGACCCCCGGUUGCCUUGAUUGUUACUCCAAACACCUUGAUUGUUGCCUCCCCUAUUUCCUUGGUUGUUUUCACUCCAAUUUUCUUGAUUGUUGUUGUUAUGCCAAUUCUCUUGAUUGUUAGAAUUCUAAUUGCCAUAAUUGUAUUAUGGUCGCCAUUGUUGAUGGUUUGGGCCUCAGAAGUUGUUUCUUUUCCCUAAAUUUUUUUUCACAUAUUGCAUUUCCUCCUCUUGCUCAUUAUAAGAGUCAUCUUAAUCAAAACCACCAUCAUCUUGCACAUAGUUAUCCACUCAAGUUUGAAUUUGUGGACCCUUAGUCCUCUUCUUGUUCACCAAAACAUUCAUUCCCUACAUAGUAUGAACUUGCUUAGGGGCUUGCACUUGACUAAGUUGAGCUUUUGCUAGUUGAUUUAUGGUAGUGGUCAAUUCAUCAAUGGCUUGCCCAUGGUCAUUCAAUUCUUUGUCGAGGUGGAUCAUAUUCGGAUUACCUUAUGUUACAUUGGCUCGAGAUUGCCAAGCCGAUGACAUUUCCGCCAUCUCAUCUAAGAUUUCACACGCCUCCGCAUAAGGCGUAGUCAUAAAGUUUGCACCGGCUAGUUGAUUCACUACACAUUGGUUGGUUGUUUUCUGUCAUAUCAUUGUUGGGACAUUCCUUAACCAUUGUUUUAUAGUGCUUCCAUAUUUCCUGUAGUGGUUUAUUCGGCUCUUGCUUGAAUGCAAAGAUCUCAUCUCGAAGUGUAUCCAUGUGGCCGAGCGAGAUAAACUUAGCAAUAAACUUUUCCUCCAACUCAUCCCAAGUGUGAAUUGAAUGGUUUGGCAAUCUUUCCAACCAAUCUAAAGCUUUCCCCCAUAGAGAGAAGGGAAAAAGUCGUAGCCUUAAUGCAUCCUCGGAAACAUUAAUUUGCUUGGCCCCCGGCAUGUAUCCACAAAGCCCUUCAAAUGUUUAUAAGCAUUUUGAGUUGGUGAACUGGUAAAGAAACCCCGUUGCUCAUGAAAAGUGAGCAUCACAUUGGCGAUUUGAAAGUUUCUGCCCUAAUACGGGAGGGACUAUUACAUUCGCAUAACCUUCGUUAGGAAAUACCUUGUGUGGAAUCGCUUGUGGUGGAGGUGGGGGUGGAACGAGCACAUUGUCAUACGGUACCCGGCCUAUUCGAUUGGUUUGUGGCUCUUGAGGUACCUCCUCUACUUGUUCUUCCUCACCGUCCAAUUCCCCUAAAGGCAAAUUUUCGAGAUCAUUGUUCCCAUGGUUGUACCUAAAAUUUCUUAAACAAAUUAGUAAUAUAGAAAGGAAAUAAGAUAUUCCAAAAAAUACACUCAAUUAUAUAGGUAGAACCGUUUUAGUUCCCCUUCAACGACGCCGAAAAUUGAUCUACGUUCAAUCCGCACUCAAUAGUGAGUGGAAGCUCUUGGUGGAAGAAUAGUACCCAACAAGAGAUGAGAUCGAUUUCCAUAGGGAAUUUAAUAUGGGUGUUAGGGUGUAUACUUGAUGAGAGUAAAUGAAAUAACUCAAUUGCGCUUCCAAAGAAGGGAUUUUGUUUUCUACUUCUAAAUUAACACUAACAAUUGUAAACUAAUGAGAAGAAACCAGAAAGAAAGUAAUCGUUUUUGUUGUUUUUACCAAAUGGUUAAAAGGCCUAGGGAUGUAACCUUCACCUAGGUGUUCACCUAAUGGGUUAAGUACAUUAACACAUUGUUUUAUUUAUCGGGGUGUAUUAUAACUCUCAACCCUCAGUUACCCACUAAAUACCUCUCAGUUAUAGAUUGAUUUUGCCCAAUUUGGCUAGUUCAAACCCUUUAAUUAGGCUAAUCAAAACCUUAACUAGCCUAAUUUCUUGUUAGCCAAGUUUUCCUACACUAAGUCCCUCUUUCUCAAGUAAAGACCAAGUCAAAAAGGCAUGAAUCAAUGUUUGCAACUAUUAAUUCUAUAAUUAAAUCAUAAACGAUGCUAAAUAACAAACAUCCAAUCAUAAACAAACAUUAAAUUAGAUACCCAUAAGGUUUACACACUAGGGAUGCAUCACAACCCUAGUAAAAGUCUAGCUACUCAUAGUAGAAAAUGAAGAAAAUAAAGAAGAAAUACUAAUUAAACCCAUAAUAUAAAAUUAAAAUGAUAAACUAUGAUGUUUUAAUCCCAAAAUGAUCACAAAUUUCCUAAAAUGGAAAACUACAAUGGCUACAGCUGCUAGAACUUCCAAACAUAACCUAAAAAUGUGAUUCCCGUCUAUUUAUAGUGGCCUAAAAUUUGCUGACAAAAAUGCCCCUCGCGAGGUCUUGCGUUCGCACAAUUCCAUGUGCAGUCCGCAUAUUGCUUGAAUCUACAGGAAACUGGAUUCUGCAGCUGCACAAUUUGGUUUGUGGUCACACAAUUUAUGUGCGGUCUACACAUUAAGCAAGGCUUCAAGUCAUGGUCAGUUGCACAUUCUCUGAACUUUUUGAAUUCUUGUUAGUUUGGACCAUGUUCUGCAGCCGCACAAAUUGUGUGUGGUCCGUACUUUUACUUCAAUUAAUGCUGGGCUUCUUCAUUAGUUCUGCGACCACAGAGGAAUUCUGCGGUCCGCACUUUCUGCUGCGGCCGCAAAAAUACUUCUGCGGACCGCACUUUUUGUGUGUUGUUCACCUUCUUGUCUUGUGAGUCGGAACACUCCUCGGAUUUCUUCGUAAAAGCCCAAAUUUCAAACAUUCCUGCAAUUUUCACACUUUCAUUAGUUUUGGGAAUAUAAAUCAAUACUUUUGGGCUAAAACAAAAGUAAAAAGGUACUAAUAAGUGGUCAAAAUCCACACUUAUCACUUGUUUAUCACGGUAACCUUGUUCAGCUACCGAUAAUCAAUACACAUGCGCAUAGUACCAUCUUUCUCCUUUACAAACAGGACUAGAGCACCCCACAUCGACAUACUAGGCCGAAUGAAACCCUUAUCAAGCAACUGUUGCAAUAGCUACUUUAACUCUUUCAGCUCCGCUGGGGCCAUAUGAUAUGGCGGAAUAGAAAUGGUCUGAGUGCACAACAACAAGUCAAUACCAAAAUCGAUAUCCCUAUCAGGCGGCAUGCCCAGAAGUUCCGCUGGAAAUACAUCUAAAAAGUCUCUCACUAUCAGAAUUGACUCAAUGGUAGGAGUAUCUGCACUGAUAUCCCUCAUGAAGGCUAGAUAAACAUCACACCCCUUCUCAACCAUCCGAUGAGCCUAUAUAAAUGACACAACCCUGCUAGGAACAUAAAUCCAACGCACCCCCUUCACUCUAACCGUGUAAACUUGGCAUAGCCAUCGUCAUAGUCUUGGCAUGACAAUCUAGAAUGGAAUGAUAGGGCGACAACUAGUCCAUGCCCAAGAUAAUAUCAAAGUAUACCAUACUAAGUAACAAUAGAUCAACUCUGGUCUCGAGACCACCAAUAACAACAAAACAUGACCGAUACACACGAUCCACAUCAAUAGAAUCUCCUAUAGGCGUGAACACAUAAACAAGGAAACUUAAAUAAUCACGAGAUAUAUCCAAAUACAGAGCAAAGUAAGGUGACACAUAUAAAUAAAUGGAUCCCGGAUCACAUAAGACUGAUGCAUCUCUAUGAAAAACUGGAACCAUACCUGUAAUGACUGAGUUUGAAACAACUGCCUUCGUCCUACCAAGAAAAUCAUAGAAUCUGGCAUGGCCUCCCCCUCUAGGGCGACCUCUACCCAUUUGUCCCCCACCCCUAGCUGGCUAUGCAAGUGGAGCGGAAUCUUGGGCAGCAAUCAUGGCAUGAGAAGUCUGUGGGCCUGACAAAAUCUGUGGAGUCUGAGUAGUCUGUGGAGGUGCACCCCUCCUGAGCCUGGGGCAGUCUCUAACUAUGUGGUGGGUAUCAACACACUCAAAGAUAGCUCUCGGUGGGUGUGUCUGCUAAGACUUGAUCGGGCUUAGUCGGCUAGACUGACCGCUAAAGGCACCCCAUGCAAGAGAUGCACUAGAAAGUGGAUGAGCAAGGUGUGCAACUAGAGACCUCAGAACAACUAGAGCACCACUAGAAGUUGGAAGUGCUGAGUGAACUGGACGACUCACAUAGCCUCUACCAUGACAAGCUGUAGCUGCAGCGUGGCCACCACUAAAUCCUCCAGUACCUUGAGGCCUCUUGGCCUCCCUAUCAUCUCUCUCACGGCCCCGCAUACCCUUCAACCUCCGAGCAAUAUCUACCAUAUGCUGAUAUGGGGUAUUUGUCUCCAACUCUCGAGCCAUGCUGAACCUAAUACCAUAGUUGAUCCCCUUGAUAAAUUGAUGGACUCGCUCUCUAACUAUAGAUGCCAAGGUAUGUACAUGUCUAGACAGAUCACUAAAUCAGGCGGCAUGCUCCGACACUGUCAUAGUACCCUAUCACAACUACUCAAGCUUUGCGUGCUAUGCAUCCCGAAGGGUCUGAGGAACAAACUCUCUCAAGAAUAAAUAUGAAAAUUGAGUCCAUGUAAGUGAAGCUGCCUCGGCUGCGCUACCCUCCUCGUACACUCGCCACCACUGAUAUGUCGCUCCGGACAGCUGGAAGGUAGUAAAAGAAACUCUACUCGUCUCCAUAAUACCUAUAGUACGGAGAAUAUAGUGGCACUACUCAAGAAAACCAUGUAUAUCCUCUGAAGACAAACCACUGAAAGUAGGAAGGUGGUACUUUUUGAACCUCUCAAGCCUAAGCUGCUCCUUUUCAGAUGUUGGUGCCCUAACCACGGGCUGAACCAGAGCAACAGGUUGUACUGGUAUAACCUCUGGGACCUAAUAAACCUGGACCCACUACUCUGGGUAUGGGCUGCAGGAGCAUGUGCUCCUCCCUCUAGCCUAAGAUAUGGCUGGUGCAAGUGGAAUCAACCCCGCCUAAGCUAAGGUAUCGAACAUGCUCAAGAGCUGUGUGACGGUAUCUUGAAGUGCUAAGGUGGCAAUAGGCGCCUCGGGUGCCUCUCCCCAAACUGGAGCUACUGGUGGCUCAUCUCUCGCAGCUCGAGUAGGUGAUUUGGCUACACCAAGUGCCCCUCCUCGACUUCAGCCCCGGCCUCUCGUGGCUCUAGCAGGGGUCAUGAGUGUUUGAUCGUCAUAUAUACAAGUGCGUGUCCUCAUCAUCUGCGAGAGAAUAGAAAGUUAGUUUUUGAAGCCAACCAAUUCACACGAUAAGGAUUUAAAGAACUGAAGUUUUCCUAAAAGUUCAGCCUCUCGAAGAUAAGAUAGUUAUGAACCUAAAGCUCUGAUACCAACUUGUUACGACCCCAAAUUUACCUCCGAACGAUGUCGUGAUGGCACCUAGUCUCUACGACUAGGUAAGCCUAACCAAUAAUAAUAACUUGGCGGAAACAAUUAUCAAAAUUGGCCAUCAUUUCUUUACCCGACAACUCUUUCAUCCUUGCAGGGUAAAGAGGGGCAGCUGUUGAUACCCAAUUUUUUCCUAUAAUAUUUUUGUAGUGCAUAUAUAUCAUUAAAACUAUUCAUUGGCAUCCAUGGGUAUUUUUCCAUAAUUUUUAAAUUGUUUUAAUUAAUUUAUCUCAAUAUUUUCUUCAUAUAAUUAAUUACAAAAUUGCAUUACAGAUGAUUUUAAAACAUCUCUUGAAUUAAUAUUACCAUUUAUGGCCUUAUUAAGUUCCAAUUAUUUUACAAAUGUCCAGAUUUACACCUUUUGGUUACAAUUGCACUGAUUUUGCAAUUAUAGCCUAUGUACACAUCAUUGCAUAAUUUUGCUAGAAAUUGGUCCCUUAUAUUUUUCAAAUAUUGAAUAAUUAUUUUGAGGCACUUCUAUGCAGAAAAUUAUUUUUUCUAAUUUUAAAUUAUUUUAUAAAAUAAUUUUAUUCAAAUAUUUGGGUAUUUAACAAAUAGCCUCUUAAUCUCCCUAAUUUUCGGACCCAAAAACCAGCCCAAAACCCUAACCAAAUUCACCCAGGCCCAAAGGCAAUUAGACCCUACCUAGACCCCUCUAAUCUUGGCCGUUGAUCUCUGAGAUCUAGGCCCACAUUGGUUCUUACCAAUUUUAACUCCAAACGACCCCUCCUAAAUUAAAUCAUUUUCCACCACACCCUGCAGUCACCUGUUCCCUUCUCUCUCAAACGCUCUCUACCUAAACCCUAAUUUUCAGGCACCGUCACCGGCUUAGAUCUCCAUUCUACGAUGUUUCUUUAUCGUCUCAGGCCUAUAUUGGCCUCCUACAUGCUAUGGUUCAUCAGUUUCUUGGAUCCUUGAGAAGAUCUCAAGGGACCUAGGCGGUCUGGUUUGUACCUUUGAUUUCUUUGCAUGUUUCAGGCCAUUUGCUCGACCAUGAGUAAGAAGCCUCUCUUAUUUUGAUAUGAAUCCACGACUUUCUAGACCUAUGUUCUCAUCUCUGAUUUACUUUUGAAAACCCUAAAUUUUGUCUUUGAUCUUCUCAGAUCUGUACAUAUUUAAGAAGAAUCGGACCUAUUUCACAUGUUUUUCAUAAAAAAUCUUCUGGUUUUUCGAGUGAUUUUCUAUUUUUUCUAAAGCUAGGGUUUCCUGGAAAUCCUUUUCUCCAAAUGUUUUCUGACUUUGAAUGUUUAACCUUCUAUUCUUAUGUGCUUUUGGUCGAUUUAUGUUAAGUGUGCCUUAGCCCUAGUUGAUUCAUGCUAAAACCCCAAUUUUUGACAUUUUUUUCUUUGAUUCUAAGCUUGACCAUGUUACAUGUACACUGUUUCGUUCUAUGCUUUGAUUCUCAUGAUUUCUCCUUAGUCUAAUUUAAAUGUCUUGUGAUUUUUACCCUAGUAUGCCUCUAUUAAGGUUUCUGACUUGAUUUCUCGACUGAUUCUGUGUGUUUAUACUUAGCCUAUUUGUGUAUUUGUAGAAACAUAUAUUAUUCUCCUUUAAAUCAGUACUAUUUUGGAUUCCUGAUUUACUGAUUUGCUCCGUAAAAAAACUAGGGGCCGAUUCUUGAUUAUUCAUUUAUUUGCGACCUUAUUUAGUUUCUCACCUUAUUUGAUUAACUGUGAUACUUACUGAUUCCUCAAGAUUGUUUCCUUAAUUGAACCCCUGCUUAUUUACCCCAAAUUUCCUACUCUGUACUUAAGUCUUACACGAUUUUCUUUCUUUAAAUAUUGUCCUACCCUUUACCGUUGGGUAAUUACUCCUUGAUUAAGGGAGACUAUACUGAUUUUGUGCAUAAUUGAUUCCGUAAGCUUCCUUAAUUGCUGACUGAUUGAUCUCCUUUGCCUUACUCUGUUUUGCUCCCAACUACUAUAUAUACUCUCUCUAUUCUCACUUCUGGACAAACACUAGUUCAGAAUACACACACACUCAAACUAUUCUCCUUCUUUGUUACUUGUGCUAUUGUGGGUCUAGCCGACUGAAAGCCAAGGCUAGAUAGUGAGACUAUACUUGUUCUAUAUUCUACACUCUUUUUUUCUCAAUCGGUAUGUCUCUAGUUACAAUUGAAAUCCAAACUCUAUGUGUUUCAUUCCUGCAUUAGUUCAUUAUGAAUUUGACUUCUUUGUUUGAGCAUGCCUAAAUUCUGCCUAUUCAAUGUACAACUAGUAUGUCUACACUUUACAUGUUUAUCUGAUGCUUGACCAGUCUGUGUGUUGAUUUGUGAUUAAUCCUUUAGCUAUGUGAUCAUGCUAUGAUCCUACUUGUGUGUCUGAUUCUGUUUUCUACAUCUUUGCUCCAUGUUUUAGUUGCCUGCUAUCCUGGUUAAUCCAUUAAGACUAUGAAACUUCUAAGUGUUCUAUGUUGUCUACAUGCCUCCAUGCCCCUAUUUAUGUACCCUCAAUGAGAUUCCUAUAUGUUCUCAAUCCUUUUCACCCUUGUGUGCAAACCUGCCUGCUAAAGUGCUUAUGAAUCUGAACCUUCUAUGAUUGACUCGCUGCCGACUGAAUUUUGCUCUCUUCUGAACUGUUUUUCAAAAUGUUUUCUGUAUUCUUCUAAAAUCUGGCUUUCAUUCCUAGUAUAUUUUUUAAAACUGGUCUAUUCUAGAAAAUCUUUUUUCAAUCCAAAGGAGUUGUCUCCACAUUGUUUUCACUAAGUCUUUUCAAGCACUCUCACUUACUAUUAGGUUAUUAAGUUCUGCCCCUCUGGUAUAUGUACUACUUAGGGGUCCUUGAGAUCUCUCUGAACUCAGGCAUAUCAGGGCUGGCUUUUCCACACUGCACAUAACCAGUCCCCACUUGAGAAAAGUAUUGGUGUGAGCAUUGCCCGGGAUCCUUGAGGUCCUUAGAGAACUGUGACACACCUAGACACUUGUUGUCUCUGAGAUUUCUGAGCAUUUGAGACUACAUUGAAGGCCUGGUGCUCCCAAGUUUAUUUUGGGCCUGCUUCAGGCUCCCUAUAGUAUUACUUUACAUUUCUUCUGUGUAAUUUAUGCAAUUCUGGUCUGUAAUAAUUAUUUUUAAAUAAAUAUUAGGGUAACUAAUAAAAGGGGAGGUAGUUGUAUGAUACUCUGGGUAGAAAACAUGCUAUAGGCUUUAUAUUCUGAAAAUCUGCAUUAGAAUCCAUGUUCUAGGAUUGAUGUGUUCAUUUACAUUUAAACCGUGUUGAACCUGUACAUUAGAUAUCCUAUUUUAGGGCCCUCACAUUUACUGCUUCAGCAUGUUGCAUGUUUAAUUCCUGGUUCUUCGCAAGUACUAUCACAUAGACAUCCUGCUAUUAAAUAAUCUUAAUAAAAAAUGUGAUUCCUGUAUGCAUUAGAUACCAUAUUCUUAGGAACUCUGUUUGCAUCUGUUUGAACCACGUCUAUUUCUAUUAAAUCGAUAUCUGUCCAUGAAAAGGUUUAAAACAGACUCACGCAUAGGUAUCAUGUCUCUGAACACAAAUUGAUAAAUCGCCUAUUAUAAUCUGUAUCACUUAGAUAAGUAUGCCUAUAGGAUAAAAGAACUUCAAACUGUUUAAGUAUUCCCCAGAUUCGUGACUGCAUAUACACACUUAGGCAAGCCUUAGGCCGUUAAAAAUUUGUGAAACCAGUUCUGCUUAUGUGUGAAAUUAUCCAGGCUUAACAGGCUAUAAAACUGAUAGGCAAACUGGUUAGGAUUCUUCCACUUCCCUUAAAACUAACAUUGCAUAUCAUGUAUCUAUAACAUCCAUCUAAAUAUCAUGUUCUUAGACUUUCUGAACUUCUUCAAAAUCAGUUGUUUGAGACGUGCUGUUUAGUGGCCUAUGUAUGUGUGGAGGUAAACAUGAGCCUUUUACCUGCUUCUUUAAUUGACAGUCCUAUAAGUUAUUCAUUGUUGCCUAGACUUUUCCCUUUUAAACACCUUAGGAUUGUCUAAAACUGUCUAAGUCUGGAGGUCCUAAAUUCCUCCGGGGCCACAAGGAAGGGAAGGCUACAAGGAAGGGACGGGUUGCAGCACGCUUAGAGGUCGUUAAUCGAACUCGCUUAUAUAACCAUUGGGGGGGGAGUAAUGGGUAGUAAAAGGAUAUGAUGACCUGCGCGCUAAUAUCACGUGUAGCCCCUCUAGUUGAAGAGGUAUAUCGGGCAUUGCACAGAUUGAUCCUGUAGGCUAAUCAACUUAGGACUUUCUUUUCUCAAUUCCUAUAUGUGUUUAAAUUAUCUAAACUUCCUUUUUCUUUACAUAUAUGUGUGUUUAAGCUGUCCUAACCUCUUUUACUUUCAUUAUCUAAAUUUCCUUGAUCAUAUAUGUAUUUAGACUAUGAAAACCACCUAAAUAUGUGCUAAGACUGUUUACUUGUUAAAUGACUAAUUCACAUAAUUUAAGUUCGGCCGGGACCCACCGUUGUAGACCGUGAGGGGUGCCUAACACCUUCCCCUAAAGGUUAUUUCGAGUCCUUACCCUAAUCUCUGGUAAUGUAAAUUAGUUACAUGAGUUAAUCGCUCUAGGUGCCCUAACGCACCUUAAAUCCAUUAGGUGGCGACUCUUCAAAUUCAAAUACCUAAUUCCCAAAAGGAAACGAGUUGUUCCCCCAUGAAUAUCGAAACCUGGACUCCGCGAGGAAAAAAGGGGCGCGACAUGCCUUGCUCAGGCUUACGCGAUCGCGAGUUCUUCCACACGUUCGCGAAGGGUAUGUCCCCUGGCCUUCAUGCUCAUGGACCAUUGUACGCGUUCACGUAGAAGAAAUGACUGAUUCCCAGGCCACCUCUAUUUUAUGCUACGCGUUUGCGUGACACCGGUCGCAUUCGCGAAGAGCAGCCCCCCAGUGCUCUGCAUUCGCGACAAUGGCUAUGCGUUCACAAUGAACAAAACCUAGCCCCAGCCCUGAGUACACUUCGUAAUCGCGAGAGUGGCUUCGCAACUGCGAAGCAUAAAAUGCCUGUACACCAGAAGCAUCCAAAACAACAGAAGUUCUUAAGUCCAAAACAUCCCGAAACCUAUCUAAAACUCACCCGAGCCCUCGGGGUUCCAAACCAAACAUGCACACAAGUCUAAAAAUAUCAUACCGACUUAGUCAUGUGAUCAAAUCGCCAAAAUAACACUUAUAACUACGAGUUUAGCAUCAAAAUCAAAGAAAAAUCUCAAGAACUCUUAGAGUUUCCAUUUUCACAACUGAGGGUCCGAAUCAAGUCAUAUGAAUUCCGUUUCUUACCAAAUUUUAUAGGCACAAUACCAUAUUAAACCUGUACCGGGAUCCGGAACCAAAAUACGAGCUCGAUACCAUCAAAUUCAAACAUCGUUAAAUUUCCAAAAACUCUUAUAUUUUCAAUUAAAUAAUUUUCUUUCAAAAAUUCAUUUCUCGGGCUAGGGACCUCAGAAUUCAAUUCCGGGCAUACUCUCAAGUCUCAUAUUUUUCUAUGGACCCUCUGAGAUUGUCAUAUCAUGGGUCUGGGUUCGUUUACCUAAAAUAUUGACCAAAGUCAACUUACAAUUUUAAAGGCAAAUUAGCAUUUUUUCCUCAAAUUUUUAAAUAAAGGCUUUUCGGAUAUACGCCCAGACUGCGCACGUAAAUCGAGGAGAAAUAAAAUAAUGUCUUGAAGGCCUUGGAACCCCGAAUUGGAUUCUAAAACACGAGAUGACCUUUUGGGUCAUCAGAUAUAUGUAAAGGGCAAUUACUUGUGGUUAUCUGUAAUGAUAGGAUAAUCAAACGUUGCCACUGGCUUGGGCAAUAGUUGAAGUUGAAAAUACAUUUACAUGAAGAUUGUUUGUCAACCUUAUAAAAAAUGAUCUUUAGCUUGGAGAUGGGACAGAGUUGUUAUUAAAGACAUGCAGAAGGUAAUCUAUAUUCUAUUAAAUGUGUUGUUCAAAUCCGUUAAGUUUAUUCUUUUAACUAUUUAUUUUUAACUGUUGUAGGGACUUGACAAAGCAAUCAGUGAGAUCCUCCCACAGGCAAAACAAAGGAUGUGUGCCAAGCACAUCCUAGUAAACUGGUCAAAAAAUGGAGAGGCAUUGAGAGAAGAAACUAUUUUUGGAGAUAUGCUAGGUCUACUUAUGCGCAAGAGUUAAAAAACAUCUUGACCACAUGAAGAAACUAGGGGAUAAAAUAGUUGAGGACAUGUUAUGCUAUAACAAAGAGAGGUGGUGCAAUGCAUAUUUUAAGUAUUUUAGGAAUUGUGACAGUGUUGAAAACAAUAUGGAUGAAAGUUUUAAUUCUUGGAUAUUGGGGACAACCCACAAAGAAAUGAUCACAAUGCUUGAAGAGAUCAGAGUGAAGAUCAUGAUAAGAAUAGCACAAAUGAGGGAUUUAUAUGAUAUGUGAAUCUUUGAUAUUUCUCCAAUGGCACAAAGGUGUUGCAGGAGAACUGAAGGUGUUGCAGGAGAACACAACAAAGUCAAUGAAAUGUGUGGUGCACUGGAAUGAUCAAUAUGGUUAUGAAGUGAAUGAAGGACUCACCAGUAAACAUAUAGUGAAUCUGAACAAGCUUACAUGCACCUAUAGAGCUUGGAUGCUGAAGGGUAUACCAUGUGCUCAUGCUAUAGCUGCUAUCCAUUUCACAAAAUUGGAGCCAGUUAACUACAUUGCACAUUGGUAUCAUAGGGAGACUUAUACGAAGAUCUACAGUUACUUCUUUUAGCUUGUACAAAAUAUGAAGAUGUGGCUAUAAUGACAAAACCUUUCAGUUAUACCACCAGAAGUAAGAAAAAUGCCUGGCAUGCCCAAGAAAGCGAGAAAGAAGGAACCAACUGAAAACAAAAUAAGAAAGAUUUCCAAAAGAGGUACCCAGAUGAUCUGUAAUAACUGUCAUGCAAAAUGCCAUAAUAAGAAAGGUUUUCAUAACGGCGCACAAGGUGAUACAAGAUCAACUGGUGGUGCAAAGUUAUCAAGUGUUUGUUCUUCAUCAACACCUUCAGUUUAAAGUGUACAAAAAUAGGAAGAGGAAGAGGAAAACCAAGAGGUUCAACAAAAUAGGUAAUAACUUGUAAGUUACUUCCAUUACAAAUUAUUUUUUUGUAUAACUUCUUAAUACUUUGCACUUGUUAUAAGAUAAUGCUACUGGUAUAGGAAGAGAGACACCCUAUAAAAGGCCAAGAAUAGUUGGUAUGGGAACUAUACAUACAGAAAAUGGAGCUUCCAUCUAUAAUGUAAGCCUAGAAUAUCAACUAUGAUUAUGAACUCUUUGUGAUCAAAUUUGGAUGAAAACUAUCUAAGUUUGUUUUUGUGAAUAUAGCCUGGAAUGUCAAUUGUGCCCAAGAACUCUGCAGUAGUGAUCAGAGAUAUUGGAACAAAUCAUGAACAUGAAUGAAAUAAAAAGGUAAAGAAGUUAUUACCUCAAGGAAUCUUUAACACAUUCAAGCUAAGAAAAGAAUGGAGACAAGUUUGAGCCAAACAAGUUCAUCAACACCACAAUCCACUGCCCAGUAGAUAUUAGUACUUCAAUAUUUUUGUGUGCCUUUUGGCAGUGGGUAUAUGUAAAGAGAAUAGGAAUGUAUCUGCACUUUUAAACAAUGUUCUAUUUUGGUAUGUAACUAUAUUCAGCAAUGACUGAAAGUUUCCAAGUCUGUUUUCUGGAAUGAUAUGUAGCAAUGACUGCACUUUUGCAGGUAAGUUUUCUGUAAAUGAUAUGCAAAAAUGAAUGCACCUUUGUUAACACAAAGUUUGUGAUUAUUUUUUUGUUUAAUCUUUUCACGUUAAAGUAACAAUGUUCAGUAAUGAUUGCAUGUUUUUAAGUUUGUUUUUCUGCAAUAUGCAGCAAUUAUUGCAAAUUUUUAAGUCUGUUUUUAUGCAAUAAUGUGCAGCUACUACGCAGCAGUGACUGCAGGUUUGCUAAUAUAUUUUUCUUCAUAAAUAUGCUGCUAAUAUGCAGCAGUGACUACAAAUUUAUUUAUUUAUUUAUUUUCUGCAUAAAUAUGUUGCUAAUAUGCAGUAGUGAUUGCAAAUUUAUUUAUCUAUUUUCUACAUAAAUAAAUACAAAGCCUUCUUUUGUAAUACACAUAUUGCAAAUUUUAACAACACACACUAAAAUAACAAGAUGCAUUAUAUUAUAACAAAAGUUACACCAAGUUUUUACAAAAGAUGCUACAACAAAAUGAUGCAACACUAAAGAUACUACACCAUAACAAAGCCUAAAACAACUUUAUUGAAUCAUUCUUCACAUAUACUAGAUGAAACCAAUAGCUUAUAGCUAUAACGCAUUCACACAACACAAAAACUUAAAGUGCUUUCUCCCUAAUCUUGGACUUAACCAAACUGCUCCUCCACUUCCUCUCCCUUUCUUUCGUCUUUUCAAUCUCUCCCUCCAACUUCUCCAAUUGCAUCUCUAUCUUCUUUUCCACUUGUUUUUUUCCGUAGUCUUCUCAACACUUUCAUACACUUCCAAUGCAGUUUCAAGCUCACCAAUUUUCUCCACAAGUUUAGGAAUAACAAUUUUGAUCUUGGAUCAAUUUCAGCAUAUCUUCAACACCAAAAAUCACAAGAUCUUGGACCCUACAAUGAUGAAACACAAGGAAUUAAUUAAAGGUCAAUCAAUGAAAGCUUCAACUAAUUUACAAAAAUUAAUGAUUCUUCUACCUAUUCCAAAGGAUGGACACACUCAAUAUCUUUUACCGGGGUUCCGAGGGGUCCAAGCAGUCAAUAUCGACAUCACGUAACCAUAGUUGCAACGCACUUCUUUAUUCAAUCUAGGAUCAUCGAUCUUCCAUGCAAAGCCUAGCUAAGUUGCUUGACCGCAUUAUCGACUAAGCCCUAAAAUCAGAUGAACCCCCAAAUAAAAAGAAAUUCGGACCACUCAAAAUAAACCAUAAAAUCAGAUGAACCAAAAGAUUAUAAAUAAGAAUAAGGCUUUGAUUCAGAUAAAAGGAUUUGAUUUUGUUCGAAAUUCUAUAUCUUGGCCAGAAAUUAUGAGUAAUUGAAGGAGAGGGAGAUUUAGGGUUCUUGAAGAAAAGAAGAAGGAUUGGAUCACGUAAUAUAAUUUUACCGUUGGGGUCUCUUUAUAAAGUAAAUGUACUUUUAAAAUAAUUUUUCUUUUCUUAAAUUCAUUUUAUCUGUUAAAUUUACUGUAAAACGCGCUCAUAUGAUCUGGUGUCGUGGAGGUUGGAACAAAAUUCACUCGCAAUGUGUUUUGGGGGGUAAAAAAACACCCGUUUAAUUUAAGUGUUCAAACAUAUUUUCUAGACAAGUUUAACGAGGUCUUUAUGUAUUUUUCCUUUUAUAUAUACCUGUUUACCUUUUGACUUACAGUUAGGAUCCUGACUUUACUGUUAUUUUCCGUCUCACAUAUGCCCCUCCUACUAAUGGUUUUCUAUCAAGUGAAAAAAUUGGUCUAGCCAUGUAGGAUAAACGGAUAGUACUUUAGUGGUAAAUUUGAAUCUUUUCCCUUUAAUAAUUGGUAUAUUAAAAUCUCCAGAUUAUUAUUCUUUCAAAUAAGCUUUCAUAAAAUAAUACUCUAAGAUAGUAGCUUGUCCACAAUUUUAAACAUGCUAACAAUCUAUAUAUAUAUAUAUAUAUAUAUAUAUAUAUAUAUAUAUANNNNNNNNNNNNNNNNNNNNNNNNNAUUUCAUUUACAAGACCCUAUCUCUCUUAAACAAUUUCAUGGGGGUGUCUUUUUUUCAAUUUAUCAUAGUUCUCACGCAAUGAAAGUAAUUUGUAUUUUUUGACUUUCUACUUACUUUUUCGUAUGAUACUACUAAAAUGUUUAUCCAGCAUCGAUCGUUCUGGACUAAAACGCGUUGCUUUGAUCAAUUUUUUCCAUUUUGCCUCUUAAAUUGUUAGUGGAACGAAAAUUUUAUACUUAUAGGUCAUUCAAAGAAUAUCUAUAAAUAAGUCUCCCAAAAAGUGGAAUUUGCAUUCUUGAAAAUAAAGCAAAAUUUCCUGCAACAUCAAAGUUAGAUAACAUGAUAGCGUAAAAUUUUUAUUUCUAAUGGUCUUUAUAACUUAAACUCGAGUUCAAUACUCAGAUGAUCACUCAACUAUAUAAAAUUAUGGACUAAGUCACAUUUCUUUCACUAGUAACAGAAAAGUCACUCAACUAUUUCUAUUGCAUACAAAUUAGUCACUUAACCGGAAUUAUAAAACUUUCCGAUAGAAAAUGUCAUGUGGCAGUCCAUAUGAAUUUUUAAAUAUUUUUUGGACCAAAUAAAAUAAUUAAUACUCAAACAAAACGUAGAAAAUCCACCCAUACACCAAACCUAACCCGCUAAAAGUAAAAAUCUAGCCGCUAAAUAAAAUCAUCAAACGUUAAAACGUAUCCCUAUUGCAAAUGCAUCUCUCUUCUUCUUAUAAAAAAGUAUUUUUUAUGGUUUCACUCUAGUCCUCAAUCUCGCACCCAUUAUUAUUUUAUAAAAAGUAGAAGAAAAACUGUGAAAAGAAGAAUACAUGUCAUUGAGAAAAGAAGAACACAAAUCAGUCUAGUCCUUAGUCCUUAACCUCGUACACAUUAUUAUUUUAUAAAACUAGAGUAAAACCAUAAAACAAAAAAGAUGAAAUAUGCUUUUUAUGAGAAGAAAAGAGAUGCAUUUACAACAGAGAUGCAUUUUAGUGUUUGAUUUUAUUUAGUGGUGGAUUUUUACUUAUGGUGGGUCGGGUUGGAUGUACGGGUGAAUUUUUUAUAUUUUGUUUGUUAUUAAUUAUUUUAUAUGGUUCAAAAAUAUAAAAUGUUCAUGUAGACUACCACGUCACAUUUUUUCACAGAAAAGUUUGAUAAUUUUGAUUGGUGACUUUCUAUGUGUAAUUAAUAGAAUAGUUGAGUGACUUUCUUGUUACAAACAAAAGAAAAAUACCUUUAAUCCAUAAUUUUAGAUAGUUAGGUCAUCACCUGAUUAAUGAACUCCUUAAACUCAUUUACUAUUUUGUAGGAGUAAACUUUUUUUAGAGGUGAGGUAGGCCUAGCUAGGUGCAGUUAAAAAAAAAAAGGUUAAAUGAGAAACGAAAGAAAUAAGGGGCAACAGUUCCAGAGUUAGUUAGUGUUCAAUUCUAACUUAUCAUUAUAGUAUUUUAUUCCUAUCCAUUUAAAGUAGCGGUACUCAAUAUUUUUGACUUGUCUAUAAAAUGGAACUCUAAAAAAAGGAAAGCAUGAAAAGGAAAAAAAAAAAACGCAAGAGAAAGAAAUAAGUCCAAUUGCAUUAUUAUGUCUCAAAAGCAAAAAACUCCAAUUCUUCUCAUCUUAAGCUUCUCUUUGUUUGCUCAUCUUCUAUCUCCUUGCAACUGUGAAUGCAAAUUUGGCGAAGUAGGCACAGAAAUCCGAGGGAUGAUGGUAUUUGGCAGCUCAUUAGUUGAUAAUGGGAACAAUAAUUUUAUUGAAAAAACAAAAGCAAAGGCAAAUUACUUGCCAUAUGGAGUAGAUUAUGUAAGGGGACCAAGUGGUAGAUUUACAAAUGGGAAGAAUGUGAUUGAUCUUAUUGGUGAGAAACUAAAGAUCCCUCAAAUUCCAACAUUUAGAGAUCCAGAAACUAAAGGAAGUUGCAUUGUUCAUGGUGUUAACUUUGCUUCUGGUGGUUCUGGCAUUCUUGAUGAAACUGGUGC
rnacentral:lncRNA from 1 species